CAAAAUCCAAAAAAUCUUAUCCACUAAUUAAUUAAGAUAGGACACCAAAUAGGACUAAACCAUCAAAUGAAGGGUAAAUCAGGGAGCACAAGAUACACACUGAUCAGUGCCAUUACAUUCAUUAGUCAAAGGCAAAAAAAGGUACAAACAAAGAUAAGAACAACACAAAACCCUAAUAGAAAAGGGUCCCUAACUCUCAUCAAAUUAGCUUAAUACAUAUUAUUUAACCCUUUAUAAUUAUUUUUCGCCGAAAAGAAACAUAAAACACUACACAUACAGCAGAAAACUGAUAUUAGAGAGCUUUAGAAGGGUCAAAAGGGAGAUCAUAGGGGGCUUCUAAUUAAGGAGUUAUUACUGUAAUUAAAAACCUAAUCAUUAUCAAUUCAUUUUUUUCAAUCAACUGAUUAGGAUUACUAGCUUUUGAUUAGUCCCCCCCCCCCCUCCCUUAGUUAGUACUUUCACUUGGCUUGAUUCUUGAUCACGUCGAACCCCAUUUCAGUCGGGUCGGUCGCUUGAAGCUCGUAAUGGAUCCCAUCCAAUGCUCCCUUCACUCCGAUCUUCGAUGUCGCGUACAUCAUCUUUGCUCUGAUCCUCGACGCAGCCGGUGCCCUAUCCCAAUUCAAAAAAAAUCGAUGAGAUUAAUGACCCAAAGUUAACAAAAUAAUAUUGUACUGACUUGAUCGUUUACCCACAGUUUAAAUUUGAAAAUUCAAUACGUUAUAAUUGUGUAAUCAGUAACCUAAACAAUAACCCAAUAUCUCCGUAAAUAAGAUAAUCCCAUAUAAUCUGCCCAAAUUUGUUAGAAAUUAAUUUGAAAAAGUAAAUAAAUAACCUAGUAAUAAAUUUUAUCAGGAUUUUCCAUGUGAUUACUCUGAGUAACUGACGAACCGGAGACCAAACCUGUGGCGCCAACGGUAAUGAUGCUACAAUUGUACAGACCGGCUUGAUGAUCGGUUGAACCGGUCAAACCGAUGAUAGGAGAAACGAAUAAACAAGUAAAGUGAAGCCAAAAAGGAAAAAGGAAACACAUAAAAGUAAAUCGGAAAAGCCAAAAGGAAUAAUAUUUUCCAAGGAAGCAACCGAUCGCGACUAAUUAACGGAAAACGACGUCGGACGGUCGGGGAGAGAGAGAGAGAGACGGACCAGGCAAUGAAGAAGAUCUUGCUCUUGUGGCAGUUGUCGACGGUGACGAAGUCGAAAUCAAAGACGGCGUAGCGGCAGUCGUCGUCGGGCAAGGAGGCGGCGAGGUCGUCGUAGCUCUCCCCCGGGCCGCCAACCUUGUCGACGGCGACUAGGCCGGUCUUCUCGUCGAUCUUGAAGACUAUGUAGCGGUGGGACUUCUUCCACUUCAUCGCCAUGAACGAGUUCCUGCACUCGUCGCUCACCCACAUCCCGCUCGCCGCCUGCAAUAAAAAAAAAUUGAAUUCGAAUUCAACUCGCAAAACGCAUGGGGAAAUUUUGAAAUUGAAAUCGAAGGAAUCGGAUUGAUCGGACAAUAUGAAAUAGCUGGAUUAUGAACAGUACCAUUUUGAAAGCCAUCGCCAUUGAUGAUUGACGAAGGAGUAAAUUAUAUUUUUAUUUUUUUCGGUAGAAAUUAGGAGGGAAGAGGCGAAUGGAGAGUGAUCACUGUGGUGAUAAGAUCGAGUGUGUGUGCUGUAAUUCUAUUUCGACUUCUUGGCGUUUAUAUAAACGUUUUGUUUCCAAUUUGCCCAGGGGAAGUUGUGUUAUUUUACAUGAUUGCCACUCUCAUGAUUAGUACAAUUGUACAUGAAAAUGGAAGUCUGAAGUUAUAUAGUUAAGAGUUUAACACUAUUAUUUCUACCAGAUAUUGAUGUUUUUUUUUACCACAAAUAGUAAAUACUACUAUUUAUUUUUCUAUGGGUGUCCAUGCUUUUUCAUUUUAGGGAGGAAAAUUAUAUUCGAGCAGAAAAGAAAAGGAAAAUGAUAAUUAAUUAAAAAGUAUAAGUAAUUCCAUUUUCAUCAUUUAGGCGGUUUAAUAGAAAACUGUUUGAAAUUUGACUUGUCAGAUUCGCUAUGAAGCUCCCCAAAUGUAAUCCUCGUGGAGUCAAUAAAUAAGUGGACUGAAUAUGAAAAGAUAAGGGUCAUGUAGAUUAAAUAGAGAACCGAAAAACAAACGAAUAAUGCUGCAAAUAUCGUAAAAUUUGCGAAUAGUUUCCGUCCAUUAUUCCUAUCAUUGUACCAAUCCUUAAACUCCAUACUACCACACUCCUUUCUAACACAAUUAAUUCGCAAAUCUCAUCCAUAAAAUACCCUACCUCCAUCCUCUUUCGUGAGGCACCUCACGAAAAGAUGUUCAUUGAUGGGAUUUGAAGGAGUUAGAUCGUAAUAUAGAAUACAAUUUCUUGCGAUAAUUUGUUUAUUAAUUCAUGCUACAUAUUAAUAAAAACUUAAUUACUCAUGCUAGUGAUGGGAAUUUCAAUUCAUACCAAAUUUUUGGAAACAUGCAUUUACUCAUAGGUAAUACUGAAACUUGAAUUUAGAAGCUUGUCAAAGUCCGAAGUGAUAUAGUAUGGCUAUUAUUUACUUUUACUAUGGUGUCAAGAGACUUUUGUUAUUAUCUCGAAUGGCCUAGUGAAGUGUUGUUACAGGUAAAGUUGCACAGAGUUCAAUGCUCCGUUACAAAUGUUAGUCUUGCUAUUUAUAGCACUUUGGGGGUCAACGACGACAAUAAGACAUAUUGACCUUUCAAUCGAUAACCUAAAUAUGAAUCAAUUGCACUCUAUGAUUGAUUCUGAUGGUGGGAAUUCUACCCCUCGAAACCCCAGGACACCAUGUAGGUCCUCGGAUCCAGCUUCGCCGACCGGAGAGGAUGAGCUAUUUGGUCUUACCGGUAUCAAUAACCUUAAUUACUUAAAGUUUUGGUAAUGAACAUCCAUUCAUUUGAGUAAUUAAAUGUUAUAAUUGGGCAGAGCUAGAUCCGAGACCUUGGAUUAAUGAAAAGUGAAAAAAAUACACAGAUUUCAUAGUCUUUGUUUGUCCAAAGUUGUGCAGGAUCUCCUGUUGACGGCUCUUUUAGGGCAAAAAUUGGCAACAAAUUCUAGGUUCAUUCUGAAACCGUGGCUCCACGUUACAAUUGUCUGUUCAAAAACUGGUCCCAUUUUGGUAUCUGAUCAUCACACCAUGAAAACUCUCAAUUCUUUUUUACCCAAUUUGAUCAAAUUCUCAUCAGUCUCUUUGCGUCCAAGCAAAGCAGCCAGUGAAGCAGAAGAAUGUGAGAAGAAGAUGAAGCAGUAAGAGCUGUGUGAAUAGGUAAUUUGAGGUUUUCGGUUCGAAUCCAGUCACCCUUCAUAAUAGACACCUUCAUCUCAAAGAGAGAUCUGCUUGGCGCUUCCGGUGGGGUUAGAUUUGACAAGUGGAGGAGAUGCGAAGUUGGUGCUUUAUAGGCUACUAUGCCAGAGUACUCGGUAGGUGACAUGUUGCAUAGACGUCAUCGUAGAAGUCUUUGAUUUCCUGGCCGCUUGUCCUUCCUUGUAUCUGCAGGUAAUGGAGCUAUCUAAUGAGUGAUGAGACACAGCCUUUUCAUAUCUCAUGGGCUCCACGAUUCGGAUCGACUUUGAUUCCUCUCGUCGAAAGCUAUCUAUGCAAUGAAUACCUAUAAUAACGACUCACGAAUAUACUCGUUUGGUGCUGAUGAUUGAAGUCGAAAAUAUAUUCAUUAUGGAUCAAGAUCAUGUUGGGAUAACAAGUUAACAAUCUAAGUACCACAUUGGUAUACUAGUAGCAGAGUUCCGUUCCUAAAGCGGAUAAUAUUAUACUAGUGUUGUACUGUUUGUGGCAGAACGAUUCUAAUAGAUCAUGGGUUUAAGGGGGAGCUGAUCCCAUAAGAUCAGGGUUAAAGCUCCUUUCUCUGACUGAUGGGAGGUGAAUGGAAUGAAUCGAGGCACCCCCCAAUUCUGGAAUAUGCAUGCCGUGUAUGAACAUACGAUCAAUUAGCAGACACUAUGCAAUGAGGUUUGGAGAAUCCCAACAAGUUUGUCUAAUGAAGUUAAGUGUCGACAACCUAACAUUCUGUUCAUGAUCAAAAUCCCUAUUAAGAUAUUGGAUUAGCAUUAUCUUUAUGCAUAUCAUAGUCCUAUUCACGUGACUGUUAUGGAAGAAAAUGAAAUGGAUGGAAAUAAUGUUAGAGCCAAAACAAACGCUAGGAUCUGAAUGAACACCGCAAUCAGCAAUAGAAAUGGAGCUGCAUUAGCAGACAUUCAUACCUCCCAUUCAUGUGAUUCUUAUGGGGUGGGACAACCCUACAUGGGACCCAACUAAUUUGUUCCUUCAACCUUGUAAAAUAGCAUGAUACUCAUUUUCUUCAAACUAACUGUCGUCGUGGUAGAUAUAUAUCUCUUGACCACUUUCGAAAUGUGUUCAAAGUUAUGAGACUAUUGUUUCGCAAUCUUAUCUUGGCUGACAUGUGCUCUCUUUGUUUGGGGAAUCGAAAGAUGGAAUAAGCCAACCAAAACUGGAUCAUAUAGGAUUUUUAAGUUACAGCGAUUUAUCGAACCAUCUAAUUGUGGUCAACGUGCUCUCAAUUUACAACUAGGUGAAACUAGAUCUAGAAAUGUUAUGAUGCUAUAAUUUCAUUCUACUAAUUAAAGAUGUGCCAUCAGACUGUUCCAACUUCAAUCGACUAUAUCGAUUUUUGGUAUCGGCAACUAGGGUGAUGAUUGAACAUGUUUAGUAGACUUUUAGACCCUCUUAAGUCUCUUUAUGAAUGGCAGCUUCUUGGUGGAACUAUACUCGAAUGCUUGGUGAAUGCAUCAAUCAUGAACUCCAUGAACCCUUUUGAGGGGAAAGAAGUGGCUAGAGUUUUACAAUUUGGGCAAAAUCUGAAGGUCCAAUAAUUGCCACAGCUGGGAUGUAAAUCCUUGGGGAUUAGUUUCAUGUUGCGUCCAUCUUUUCCAUGGAAGCAGGCUACUGUUAAUGUUAGGUGGCUAAGUAACUCUGCUUUUGGCUGCAUCUCCAUUGGCUCUACAUUAAGCUAUCAUAAUCAUGACCACUGAAGGUUUCAACUUCAAACAACUUGAUCAAGGUUUCAUAUCCAUAAACAUUACUCAAUUCACGGGGAAAACCCCGUCAAUUAAUCAUGUUCUAAAUUGAAGUUUAGCUACCAGUAAACAAAAUACAAUCCAGCCAGCAGCAGGCAAGACACAGAUGUAGAAGGCCUUUGCUUUGUAGAUAGAACAAGCAGCAGCAGCAGCAGGCCGCGUAGAAUCGAGCACGUCUUUUGUUCACUUCUCGUCGUCUUUUGCUGACUUGUCUUCAUCCUUCUUCUGAUCAGACUAGUCAUUGUGAUGGGGGAAAAACAGGAACCAUAUGUCAGAAUCAUUUGAGAGGAACGUUUAAUAGAGUUAUGAAUUUGGUCAGGGGAAGAAGUUCUGGUACCAACCUCGGAUUUUCCAUGCAAAGAUGCAAGCAGUUCUUUAACAGAAGGGUCGUUGGGGUCAACACCAGGAAGCUUUAAAGGAACCAGUUCUUAAUUAGUACAGAGGGGAGAAUGUGCAAUUUUUAGCAUAUGCAUUAUGAAAGGUUUUUUAGUAUACAUACUGAGGCCAGGACAGACGACACGAAGGCUUGGUCUUCUAGUACCUCACUCUCAUCCAUUCGGUUUGACGAAUCCUUUUCACCCUCCUGCAUGGACAUCUGAAGGGCUGCAGGCAACAACGUAGGCAAUUUAAACAAUGCAGGAUCUUAUCAACUCUAAACAAGGAGACAGUCCAAAUACGAAUAGGAGUAUCAAAAGCAUUGACGCAAAAGAUAAGAUUACAACUCACCAGCAGCCAAGUCCUGGUCUGCAUUGGUUGCAUCUGACAUAUCAGUGUCUCGCACAGACGAGUCAGAUCCAGGAGUUUGCAUAGACAAGGCAAUGGCUUGCUGCAGCAAUGCAUCCACCUCACUCUGUUCAGACAUCAUCAUUCACAAAGACAAGCUCAAGUUACUAUUUAGGUGAUCAAGAUGACAGAUAAAUCUAUUAAUUGAAUAACUAAUAACCAAACAAGUGGCGCAAAGAUGGAACCAAUCAAAAGCCUGUUCAGAAUUAAAAAACACACCAUUGGCUCAGUAGAAUCAGCGGCUCCAGCUGUAGCUGUAGCACUGUUGGCCAUUGUUGUAUCCUGUGACAUGGACGAUUCUCCAUCUCCUUUUUCCUGUGUUGAAGCUUCCUCAGCAGCCUUUUUAGCCGCAGCUUCUUGCCUUGCCCUCUCCUCUUCCAUAGAAACUCUAAGGGCAAGGGCCAGCUCAGGAUCGAUGUUGGGAUCUACACCAAAAUCGUAGUCACCACCAGCUGCUGGCCCAGCUGGUACAAAUCCAGCUCCCCCUUCUCCAUCUCCCGUAAACACAGGAGUGCUGCCAAGUAAAAAAUGAACUAGAUAUAAUUCAAGUGCUUAGAAGAAUAGUUCCUAUGGUUACUAGUUAUCUAAUAGGCUCCCAUAUAUCACUAUGAGCCUUGUCAUUGAGAAAACAUCAUUCAACCAUGUCGGCACGUGCUGGUUAUUGUCCCAUUAGGCAAAUUAACAUGGGAAGUAAGUACAUCUGUUCAUUGUGAGAGUCCAGAUCCAUGUGAUUGAGUUUGUAGAGAGUACAAAAAUCAACUAUCAGUAAUUCUGAAAGAACAUCAUUUAGAGCAUGUUUAUCAUUAAAGCUGUAAGAACAUUAUAAAACAGUAUGCUAUUUUGUCCACCAUGGCUCAUCGCCAUAUCAAAAGCUGCUCAAUACCUGGAAGCAACUCAAUCGAUUCCAAUAAAAUCUCGAUCAAGUAUAUGAUCUAGUCCGUAUACUGAAACCUAAAUCGUCUACUUUUUAGUAUUCUAUUCUAGGCUGUGUCAAAUGCAUGUGAACAUCGUAUUUGAAACUGAAGACAUAAGACAUACCUGAUAAGUACAUCAGAGAGCGCAUUCGGCCCAGGAGGAAUGUGAACUAUAUGACUGCUGUCAUUGUUAUUGACAGCUGCGAGGAGGGCCUCCAAUUUCUCUGGCUUUCCAUCAUCUUCCUCACCAAAAUCCACAAUAUCGAGAGAGACACUACUCUUCUUCAAUUUCUUUCCUAUGGACUCAAGCACCUUCUUAUCGUAUUUGAUCGGACUGCAAAAAGAACAGACUUGAUUUCAGAUAUAAGUACAGCAGAAGAGAAACCCCCCAUAUGAAACAGAUAACCUCACCUUCCAGCAAAAACUAUGAUUCUUUGUCGCUGAUUCUUGUUCUGACGAUGCUUAAGAGCCAGUUGGGCAAUCUGAACCGCAGACGUUAUGUUCAUUUCACCCCCUAUAUCAAGACCUGUACACAAAUUUGGAUAUGAAGAACAUUAGGAAUGUAGAUAUUAAGGUAAGCAAGCGAAUGCAACAGAAUACCCUAUGGUGUCACUGCAAUCUGUCUUCCAUAGUCAGUGACCGCAUUCUCAAUUAUAAGACUUCAAACUUCAAAAAAAAAAUCGGAGGUGUUGGUGGGGAUGAAACCUCCAAGUUAUAGCUUGCACAUUCAUACAUUAAGGACAUCUUUCAUUCGCUGUCUGAGUUACAAGAACCCUUCUAUUGAACCUCUUAACAACAAACUUGAGUACUUUUCAGAUACAAAAUUAAACUGACAUAGUUCCCCAAAACCUCCAAUCCUAAAUGACACUAACCCAACAUAUGAGAACUUAACCUAAGUCUACAAAUCCACAUUGCGAAGCUUACCAUGCAUACAAGCCAGGAGUUUUCCGAGAUCAGUAGUGGGUGUAGUCAACACACGCACUCCUUUACCAGCCAUCGUCAGAAUCCCUACUGUAUUCUCCGGAUUAGACUGCAAGGUAUUUUUAUAAAUUAACCGCCAUUCAACCGACCAGAGAAAAUCACAUCAGCCUAGCCACCAGAAACCCUAAAAUCACACUUUUUCCAUGAACAAACCUGAGUCUUCGCCCCGCAGAUUAGACUGACGGCAUCCGCUUGAGCUUGGAAACGAGAAGGACUGUAAUCCCCGUUCCUCAUCCAUUCCGAAUUGUCAAUGCAGAUCAUAGUCGCCUAACAAACGAGAUCAAAUCGUAAGGGGAAAAGCCACGAAAACUUAACCAUUCUAUCGCGAUUCAAGUGAAGACUACUUGGGACGGAAACCAGCUAGAGAUAAACUAGCGAAAAAUAGGGUUCAGCCGCCGGGAACUUACCUCGAGAACCAUUGUCGUUGCCGGAGAAAAUAGUUCUUUGGCGGCCGAUUACGAGAAACUGUGAGAGUUCAGAUGUUGAGGAAUCGAAAAUAGAGAGAUUUCUUGCUCGAAGGGACAGCGGCACUCGUUUAUUUAAUUUUCUUUUUUCUUCUUUAUUUAUAUAUAUAUGAUCUUUUUCCUUUUCUUUUUGUAUUCGGAAAUUUCCUCUCAAUUUUUAAAACUAAAAAUCCAUAUGAUCUAACAUUAUGAAUUUCGAUUUAAAAAUAUAAAAUUGAUGAUAUCCUUCACAUUCACUAGUCUGUGACUAAUAUCUCACAGUUGUAACAAAAAUUGAAGUCUGAAUAUCAAUUAUUUUAGGCAUGAUUUUAUCAUAUUCUCAACCCUCAAUCAAUAUUAACUUUGUCAUCUAGUUAGUUUUAAAGUGACGUCGGUACGAAUUGCGAUAUAUUGUUUGCCUGAACCGAUAUUUAAACUUGAAUUUGAGUCAUUUCUUUCAAACAAAAUCAUAAAGUCACAGAAAUGAACACAAAGAAAGUUUGAGUGAAAUGAGAAAGAUCGAACACAAAAAAUGUCUGAGUGAAAUGAGAAAGACUGAACGCAACGAAAAUUUGAGUGAAAUGAGAAAAAUUGAACACAAAGAAAGUUUGAGUGAAAUGAAAAAAACUAAACACAAAGAAUGUUUGAGUGAAAUGAGAAAGUCUGAGUGAAAUGAGAAAGACUGAACAGAAAGAAAGUCUGAGUGAAAUGAGAAAGAUUAGACAGAAUGAAAAUUUUAGUAGGAUGAGAAAGAAUGAUGCAAUGAAGAUGAUUUAUAUACACAUGAACAUUUACUUUUUGAGUAAAGAGGUGAAACAUGAGUCAGUUGUGUUGUUCGAAAUUGGAAUAGUAAAGUGGUGUAUGUUGCGACAAAGACUGAAGAUAUUAGAUGGACUGUGAACAUUGCUGAAGGCAGAGCUAUCUUGUCUUGUUUAAGCAUAGCCAUUGAACAUAGUAGAUUGGAGCCAUUGAUUGUUGAUUCGGAUUGCAAAAACUUGGUAAAACUGCUUUCCAAAGAAACUAUUUGCAGGUCUGAAAUGAGCAGCAUUUAUGGAUAUAUAUUGGAGCUAGGUUGAAACAGCCUAAUAUGCCAUAACAAAUUCAACAAGAUGAUAUUAUGCCAGUCUUGGCUAAUGAAGGUGUCAAUUAAUAUUUGCAACAAGUACUCGAAUCUUGAAUUUGAAUCCUAACUUCAUGAAUCUUUCUCAUCCAAUUCUUACUAUUUUUAUCCUCUCAAAAGAAAAAUGAAAAUGCAUCUGUAUUUAUCAAUCCACCAUGCUUUCGUUUCUUUAUGUUUCUUAUGAAGAAGAAAGAUUUCAAAAAAUUGUACAAUGCAAACAUCAAAGCCAAAAGGGUAUAUAUUCACAACUCCCCGUUACAUAAACCUUAACAACCUAUGUUCUAACUCAUCAUACAACUGCAGAAGUUCUAGGACUCAAACUUGGCCUAUUGUUCCUACUGAUGGGCAAAUGCACAUACACCUCAUGAACAUCUGACUUAUACACUUCACCUCUAUCUCUAUCUAUCGCGUAACACAUGUAAAUGGUGUCAAUCACAUUGUCCAGCACAUGUACAAGGAACCCCAACACCACGAUCAACAACGCCCAUGCCAGGAUCGCCACAUAGUACGAGUCAGUCCCGAGAUUCGUGGCACCCUUAAGUAUAGCACAGACCUGCACAUAUUGUACAUGCAUAACACAUUCACACCGUUAAACAGUCAUUGACACAGCAACAAAGGGCAGAUAAAGACGAAAUUCCUCACCGCGAUCGCGUAUACAGCUGAGAGAACGAACGUGAUACCACCUAAUAUGCGAGUGGAGAUAACCUCCACGAAGACGGCGGAGAGGAGGUUGCGCUUUAGGACUUCGUAGGCCAUGCGUGCGGAAGUGCAGUAGGAUUCGCCAGUAAUCGCGACAAAGUUGAUGGUGAACUUGUUGAGAAAUUCAAUUGCAGAGAGGAGGGCGUUGACACAAGUCCGCAGUAUAAGAUUCACAAUGCCGGUGCUGUCUUCUCGUUUUGCACUGUCGACAGCUACUCGUACCAUGCGUACAAUAAAGAUAAGUAAGCCUGAGAGACAUAUGGUGCCGGAGGAGGGGCCGAAGGCAUUCCUACAAGAGUUGAGACACGUCAAUGAAAUGACCCUAAAGGGAAAAUAAAUUUUGCAGAUAAGUAUAAUAGAAAACACUCUUAGCUGGAAUGAUGGCAAGAGUUCAAUAGUGACGAGGUCAGAUAGAGUCGUAUGGAUGACAAAUAAUAAUGAAGAACGAGGCGCUGCAGAAAGCUUCAUUAAAAGAUGAGCAAGGAAUCGCUGUAGAAUUUGUAAGCUUGCUGCUCAUAUCUACCGACUAUCAAACACGCUAAGACAUUACUCUAAGCGGUAAUAAUACUUCUCACAGCUCUACUAACCGAGUAGUUAAGUUCGAUCUGUAUUCUGGAAAACUCAGCUCAAAUUCAUAUGCAAGUAAAAGCAGAAGUAAUGCAUCCACAGAAGACAAACAAGUUACACGUUUGGACUGUCAAGAAAACUCAUUUACCUUCCCUUAACAUGCAAUCUUUUUACUUUCCAUAUGCAAUACUACGUACGAUUAGCUUCGAAAACAAGCUAGGGUCAAGCUCAAACAACAUGUUCAAUAAGAAUCUCCCACCCAGUUAUACCUUUUGAAACAGAGAAUCCAAAUUCACUACUUCUUGAACAAGAACCUGACUUUAUACUACUUUCAUUAUCCAUCUAGCACGCAACGUAUAAACUUCACCUGAGAGAAGUUCUUAUGCCACGUUUAGGCGGCGAAUCCCCCUUAGAAAAGUACCACUGACCAAUUGUCCCACUGAUCACAUAAACCUGAGCCUCCACCAUGGCCGCAGACGACCACAACAAAGUAACAAUGGCCAAAGUAUAGUAAGCAGGGACCCAACUAUCUUCCUUCCAGCCACAAUGAAACUCUCCAUGCAACUCCUUAGGCACUAUCUUCCCAUUAAACCUCGCAAACACUAAGAACACCACAAUGGGGACAUAGUAAACCGCCAAUCCAAAUGUCAACAACGGCAAUGCAACGAACAGCCCCAAAUUCUUGUACAGUGCAUCAGAAGCAACCCCAAUUAUGUCUAUAGUCAGCUCGACUCUGUACCAAUUCGCCACCAGAAUCCACACGAGCAUACCGAUCACCACAAAAAUUAGAGCCAUGACAAAAAUCCUGUAACCCAGAGGCAGAGCAUCGCUGCAGGAAGAGCUGACAGUGCAGGCGACGAACCAGUAGACGUUGAAGAAGAUUGGGACGAUGAUGAAGAACGGGAGAGAAGCGUAGACAAGGUAUUUUGUGUAAUGCCUGAGAGAGAAAAGGAGGAGAAAACUGAUAGGUCCGCUCAGGAUCACUGUUGCUACGAUUGCCCAUAUCAGACCGUCGACGAACCCGCGGGAUUCGCCCAAGUUGACGAGGAAGUAGUAGAAAUUGACUGCAGGGGAUGAAGAAGAAGAGUUUGGUGAGGUGGGUACGCAGGAGGAGGAUUGGGAAUCGAAGGUGAAGGAGGAGAGGUUGCCGUAAUUGGGAUUUUUAUGGGCGAUCGAGAAGAUUCCGACGCCGAAAGUUGAGAGGAGGAAGAGGAGGAAAAGGAUCAGGAAAGUGAUGUCCUUGAACUGCCUCGGUCCGGAAUUGUACGAGAUCUGGAGGAACUGGGUCGGGUCGGAUUCGGGUGAAAACGGGUCGGAAGUGGUGGGUUCGUCGAUCGGCGGCUUAAAGAGGAGCGGGUGAGUUGGGGAAGAGGAGAAUGAAGAGGAUGCGACUCUCUUGUUGUCUGGUUCGUCGGUGUUACUUCCCAUUGAAGGGAUUUAGACUGGCGGCGGAGGCGAUCGGCAGUAGUUUGAGCUGAAACAGAGACUGAUGAAAUCCUUCUACGGAGUAGGUUGACUGAGCGGGCGGAUUCGGGGUCGAUGGAAUAGGAAAAAUGGAAAGUGGAGAGGAGGCGGCGGAUGCAGCUAAGCUCAAUUUUGCUGGAAAAUGAAAAUAAAAUAAUAAAAUUGGUUCUUGUCGACUGUGUCUGGUUUCUGCUUGUGACUUUGUCGUUGUAUUUCUGUCAGCGCCACGAUACCCAGAUUUGGAAACCUUAACAUCUUCCAACCAGAAGAAAACAUAACUACAAUGCCAGCUCAUUCUUCAUCUCGUUCUGAAGAGUGAAGUAAAACUAGGAUGCGAGCUUGGAGAUUCCAAGUUCGAAAUCUCGAAAAUCGCACUACCUACUCCUGUAGCACAUCUGAUCUGCUUAAACAAAUACCCGGUUUGAAAACUGAAGUUCAACAGCUUCGGAGUUAACCUCGCUGCAGCGUAACAAAGACUGGCAGGAGCCAAGGUCUUGAUGUCAUGUGAACAUAGCACAUGGCCAGAUGGUCUUACAAAGGAAGAAACAUUCAUUCCAUUAAGAAGCCACUGAUAAAAAGUUUAUAUUAAUCACAAAUGUCAACUACAUACAUAGUUAAACAAAAAUAAAGGUACAUUAUCUAAGUAAGAAGGGGUGUCUAGACUUUAGAUUAUAUUGAAUAAUUAGUGAGGGAAUUUGAUGAUACAAAGAGUGAAGCAAUAAUUGAAUAAGGUACAAAAUUUGACUUUUCCCUGGGUUUGGUUUCUGUUGUUCUCAUCUUUCCUCGUCCCACUUGUCUUUUGGUAUUUCUCCAGAGUCGGCAAUAACAACUUUCUUCCUGGGUUUCCCACUAUAAGUUCCUGCUCCACCUUCAAUUGCAUAUACAUAAUCCAUCCCCUGAAUCACCUUCCCAAACACAACAUGCUCCCCAUCCAACCUAUAAGGACAGAACACAUCAAGGAGGGUUCCAAUAUAAGCCUAUUUUGCUACUGGGGAAUGCAACGAUUCGAGAGCCAAAAGAGACUAAGCUUACCAGCUGGAUUUGAUGGUGGUGAUGAAAAACUGGGAGCCAUUUGAAUCUGGGCCUGAAUUUACCAUGGAAACAACACCUGCAAGAAUUCGGAUAGAGUGCUUGGGUUAAGAACUUGUGUCAAGAGACAGACUUGACAGUAAAGUAAGCAGCGAUGAAUGUUUAAUCUUGACCUGCGUGCGCGUGUUUGAUCUUGAAAUUUUCGUCGGGAAAUGUUUUGCCAUAGAUGGAAUCGCUUCCCUUGCCAUCUCCGUGGACUAUGUCACCGCCCUGGAUCACGAAGCCGGAUACAAUACGGUGGAGUGGUGUCCCUUUGUAGUGGAGAGGUUUUCCACUUGUACCCUCGCCUUUCUCGCCUGCAAUUGAAUAUAAGUAAGGUUGCCAGCAUAUCAAAAGCGACUGUAAGUAAAGGUGAUAACUUGAUGAGAUAGGGAGGAAAGUGGUAGGUACGAACUCUCAUUGGUACCUGUACACAAUGCCCUGAAGUUUUCUGCAAACACAGAAACACCAAGCUUAGAAUAUGAAACCAAAACAUGAACACAUGCUGUAGAGAUCCCUGUGCAUUUACACAUGAAGUGGCAGCUAAUAAAAGUUCCAAUGAUUCGCCCGAAUUUCAGCAUGUUGCAGAGGUAAACAAUUUAGUAAGUGAACAAAAUAGGAGAUAUUGUUUCCUCAGGUAGGAUAUCAAACACAUACCUACAGUUUUCGGUACAACCUGACCGUAUAAUCCAAUAACGAUCCUACCUGCAUAAAUCGAGUAGCACUAGUCUUAAUAAUGGCAACGGGUUAGUGAAGUAAAGAAAUCGAAGAGCUAAAAUGUUGAGGAAAGACUUAUAUCUUAGGUAAUCUCUCUUUUCAGAAAGAAAUGUCACACAAAAGAGUUUAGCACUUCAUAGAGUUUAGCACAUAAGAAAGAUCAGUACCUAAACGUUGUUCCUCGAUAUCAAUAUCCAAGUAUACUCUAUGAGUGAUCUCAUAUUCUACUUGUGAGCUAUCAUCAGCCUGCACGACAGUUUAAAGUAAUAGGUUAAUGUUUUGGUCAUAGUAGACUAAAAGUUAAAACAGCCGAAGAACACAAUCAAGAGGAAAAUGGUGAAACUCACUAUACAAAAAUUACACAAGCCAAAAAACACUUCAAACUGUCACAUCAAUGAAACAUAUGAGCUACAGUUCAAGUGUCCCAGGAACACUGAAAGCUAAACAACUGACUAGAUCUAACAGUUAACUUAAUAGUACACAAGACAAGACAGACUGCACGACAGUGGCAGCAGCAAACCUCUGGGAAUUAACCUCAAGUUCGCAUAGAAGAAUGCCCACUUCAGGCAUAAGGCUCGAAGAUCUCAUUCUCAAAUCUCAAUCAACAUAAGUCUUAGUUAUAUUUGACAACAAUGCUAACUAGAAGGGUUCAUCUCAAAUACACAUGACUUGCUUUAGAAUACCUCAUUCUCAAAUCUCAAGCGACGUACUUCUUAGUUGAUAACAAUGCUAGCUAGAAAACACUAAUCAGCAUUCAAUCCUAAGGAGUAUGCACAAGGUCCGGAACCUAUCAUAUCGUCUACCGAAUCCCCUCCUGGGACAGCACACCACUGUCUCUUUCAAAUUGCAAUGCCAAAUCCACAUGAUAUUACCAUCAACUACUAAAUGACCAGUUAAUGAUUUCACACUCAAACUACAGACUUGAGCAUCCCUUUGUGAAGUUCAACAUCCUAACCAUUAACCCAUACACUAACUACUCCCAGAAGCAAUCAACAAGCAUAGGCUGAAAUCUGAGGAUCAUAUACUUUUCAGACCAAUUUCAAAGCCAUUGUACACUGAAGAAGCAUAACAAACAAAAGCACAUAACAAUGAAGCGGGCCAAGAGAUAACAGUGGAACAAGAAUGUCAAGAAAACUACACAGCUGAAUUCACUCCUAAUCUAUAUGUUUUAUCAGACCUAAAUUUCCAUAGUUCACUAAUUUCCCCCAACUUACGAACAGAACCCGCAUCUAAACUAAAGAAACCCAGAUCAUAAAAACAGAAACCAAACAAAACCCAACUAUAAUGAUUAAUGAAAUCAUCACACACCAGAUCCGAUCCCGAAACAAAAUCUCACCUUGUGAGGGUUAUAGAAAGCGAAAACGAACACAAUCAGAACAAGAGUGAAGAGGAUGAGGUAUUUGGGAUGAACCAGCAUCUCUCGACGCAUCUCGCUCUCAGCCUAUGUCUCCCGUCUCCCAAAUGGGGUUUCUACGCCGCUCCUUGAUGUCGACUUAUUACGGAGUUGUUCUUGCCCAUUAACAAAGCGGAAAAAAGGAUGGGAAAAGAACCCAAAUUCCCUUGGCAGAUGGAUUUUGAUUUUCUCUCCCUCCUUAAUUGCAGGUUCUUAGUCUGACUGGUGGAGCUGAGAAUAGUUGGAGUUUGGCAGAUGAAAUGGCAGAGCAUGUGGGAUUAUGGAGAACGUGGGUGUUUGCCGAGAAAAAGAAGAGACGGUGAAGGCUCGGAUCGAGAGACGAUGGGAGUAGUUGAACGGCAAGAAAUAUUAUUAAUUACCGCGUUAAAUUGAUUUCUGAAUUUCCAUUUUACUGCCGUUUUCCCCAUUUCAAUGCCCAAAAAAUGCCAAUUAGGAAAGAGAAACAGAACAAAUAUUCAUAAAAAAGUUACCAAUUGGUCGUAUUCAUAAAAAAUAUUACCACUUAGUUUUCAUCAAAAAGUAUUAGUAAUUGCUCAAUGUUGGAUUGAUAAUUGAAUAUUGACGUAGAAUUAUGUAUUAGCUAUCCGAAAAUUUCGUAUUCAAAUCUAAUACAUCUUACAAAAUAAAUACGUUAUAAUAUUAUUUAUGUUUUCUAUCAUUUAAAACUUAAAGAAUCCUUUCAUCUCCGCUUGAAUCGUUGUGGACUUUGAAUCUCUGCUUGAAUUGUGGUGGACUUGAAUUUCUUCUUUAUCCUAUAGAGGAAGGAAGGAAGAAGCAAGCAAGCAAACUCGGCAGGAAUAAUGGGCUAGCUGGCCAACGGGCUUCUCAAAAUGGGCUUAUGGCCCGCAGUAUUGAGCUUUUGCAUUACUGGAUACUGAUGCUCGGGCCUCGGCCAAUAAGAGCCACACCUGGAUAUUGAUUAUUGAACGCAGCUUAUUAUAGUCUGGAAUGAUUAAUAAAGUAAAAAGUUCGGUCCUUACUCAUAAAAAUAAAAUAUAUCAUAUGUCCAGUUAUUUAUGAUUUUCUACAAGCACCCGUAAUCAAAGAAUUAAUUAUUGUUAUCAGCAAUAAACAUCACAAUUACAUCCACGUAAAAAAAUAGUCUGGAAGUUAUAGGACUUAAAAAAAAUUUCCUCCUAAUGAGAGGGUUACCUUACAUUUUAAGGGUUUUCUAUGAAACAUCAGCUAGGGUUACAAAUCAGCAUCGCCCCUUACCCACCGCUCAUCAGUGCAGACAUCAUUAACAAUGGAGGCUCGUCUGAACGCGCUUUCACUAACGGAGGCUGAAGAACAGAUCGAGUUCAUUGAUGGACUUGAACCACGACAACCGGCGACGAUCGAGGACUUGACGCUCUGCGUUGUUGGCAAGUUUCUGACGGAAUGAGAUUUCAACUUUGAGAUUGUGAAGGAGAGGAUGGCAGAAUUGUGGAGUCCGAAGCGGAGGAUAAACCACAGGAAGUAGCGUUAACACACGUGGAUUUUGGGAUCGUGGUGUAUGACCUCCAACCUGGCUACUUCGCAGUUGGGAGUUUUGUGAAGUAUGACCAUCUCCGUUAUUAUGAUUGUGAGAUGGCGGUGAUGUAUAUUUCAAGCGAUUCUAGAUACACAUCAACCACUCAAUCGAGAGAAGAAGAUUCAACUUCCAGGCAACAAGGUGAUUACUUGUCGAUUUAAGUAUGAAAAAUUACCUAACUAUUGUUUCAUUUGUGGUGUACUCGGCCAUAUUGAAUGUACUAGUGAUAUCAAGUUUGAUAAUCCGGAUGGAGACGUCCCUAAGCCGCGGGAUGUGAAGUUGAGGGCUCCACCGAGACUAUCACUACAGCCACAUGCUGGCAGCCGCUCUCUUCUGGCGGGAGGUGUGGUGGGCGCACGGGGGUCUNNNNNNNNNNNNNNNNNNNNNNNNNNNNNNNNNNNNNNNNNNNNNNNCCCCCCCCCCUCUCUUCCGCAGCCGCUAUCUUCUGGAGGAAGGUGUGGCGGCCACUCGGGGUCAACCAGGGAGUGGUAUAGUCGGGGCAUAUCGAAUAAAUAAUAGUACCAUGCACAUUAUGUUUUAAGGAAUGCAUAAAAAGAUAUGAAAGGAAAACAAAUUUAAAGAGGAAAAUUGAAGAUGAGAUAAGGGAGAUGAAUAAUGAUUGGUGAACGGAGAUAGAAAAAGAAUUAAUAGAAAAUGUUAAAAGUGUUAUAUGUCAAUUUAUUUUAAAUAUUAUAUAUUUUUAGACUUUUAGACGACGAUGGAAAGACCGAACCACUCGACUCGAGUUCAUUGCAUUGAAAAUAAAGGAGUAAUAAUUUGUGUAAAAAUUCGUUAAUGCCGUCGAAAACAUAAAAAUAUUUAUAAAAUCAAUUGAAGGGGCAGAACAUAUAGGAAUCGAAAGGCUGGAACCCAAGAAUGGCAUCUCUACGAUACGACGGUUGUUCGAUUUGAGUUUGAAAAAAAAGAACCCAGUCUUAACUGUAAUGGAAUCAAAAUCAAACGAAAUUGAUCGGAUCUCAACACAUGACCAAACACAGAAAGAGUGACAGGCUAGCUGGGCUUGGGAAUCAAACAAAACUAAAGCUUGAUAGCUUUCGUACGUACGUACAGCUCUUUCUUCUGGAUUGCAGCAUGUGAUGAUUGGUCAUUCUGAAAGAGAUAACGCCUCCAAGUUAUCACAUCACCAAAGAUAAGGACGUUGGGAGAAAUAAACCGACCCCAACAAUAUAUAUCUGUCGAUAAACACAGCUAUUUAUUUAUUUAUUUUUGUCAAUAUCUCUGACCAAUCUUCCCCCUCGUCAUCUCAUAUCAUCUCAUAUCUCCCCAACUUGUGUGUCGCUACGUGUACGUAUUUUCCGCGAGAUAAUUAUACGUUAUACGUUAAUUUUUUCCAAUUUUCUUAUAUGUAUGACGAGUACCUUUACGGAUUUAUUUUUGAAUAAUAACUUAUUAGAAGAUUUAUUUAUUUCUAUAGUACUCCCACCUCAACAUAUUUAACAUUAGAAUUCUUACAAAUUACUCGCUCUGAAUUACACCAUGUCGAUUAAUGUCAAAUUAUUCUUUACAAUUCAUACAUGAAUUUCUUUCUUACUUUAUCGAUGUGAAUUUUACAUAAAGUAUUACAUCUUAACUCCUAUAACUAAGCUAAAAAAUCCAAAUUGACCAGUCUCUAGCAUUCUUACAAAUUAGAAUGUAAAUACAAUUAGUCAAUACGUAAUCACCAAGGAUCUCAAUUAUGUUCAUGUAGGAAUUCAAAACGGUUUGAUGUAUUUGAUAGUAUNNNNNNNNNNNNNNNNNNNNNNNNNNNNNNNNNNNNNNNNNNNNNNNNNNNNNNNNNNNNNNNNNNNNNNNNNNNNNNNNNNNNNNNNNNNNNNNNNNNNNNNNNNNNNNNNNNNNNNNAAUAUAUUUUUAAAUCUUUUCUUUUAUUAAUUUAUCUUUAUAAAAUAAAUUAUACUUAACGUUGAUUCAAUAUGCCUAUGUGUAUUGCUAUCAAAUAUUUUAAUUUAGAAAUUUUCAAUAAAACUUUUUAAUUAAUAAUUACUUAAACAUUUUUAAAAUUUGUUAAAAAAAUAUCACCUCACUUUAAUAAUUGUUAAAAAUUGAAAAUGAAAAUGCUUAAUCUUGUUUUCUCGAAAAUUAUAAUUUGUUUUUAAUAUUUAGUGUUCAUAGAAAUUUUUGUAAUAGUUGAAUAGAAAGUAAAUCUAAAUCAACCACACAUGUAUUCUUGAGACUUUAGUGUAUACGAGAUAAAGAUGAGUGAAUAGAAUAAUAGUAUAUAUUUACAAAGAAAAUACCGUAUAUUCCGUACCGUAUACAUGUAGAUACCUUAUGAGGCGUGAAAAAGGCCACGUGAACACACCUUAGCACCCAAAAAUGACACGUCAUUAUCAGGGUGAUAAAAAUUGACCAACAGAGGACCGUACGUGUCGCUUUCUUGGCAAAUACUCUUCCUCCAAUCCACAUCCUUCAUUUCCUUUAUUCUAAUCCACUUGCCAUUUAAAUAUAAAUAAAUGAUAAUGACAAGCAGAGAAGUCUUUACCAGUAGGCCACCCAGGGCAAGUGGUUUGUAGCAUUGCUUUACUACUGUUGCUUCACUUGAUUAGUUAAUUAAUUGAUUAGUCUGUCCACAGUUUCUAAGCACAUUAUUUACUGUGGAUUCCCAAGUCGUUGAUUCAGGGAAAACCCAACUCGUUGAAGUUUUAGCCGCCCUUCUUAAUACUUAAUUGGGGGUUGUUGUUGUUGUUCAUGGUAAAUUACACUGACAUAAGUAUUGGACUUUUGUUUUAGGGUUGGAUCAAAAUAAAGUUCGAAAACCGAAGAUGAGUCGAGAUGUCAUCAUUUGAUAUUGGUCACAUUGUCCAAACUUGUCUAAAAUAGAAACAAAUCCAAUUAAAUAUUACAGAGGCAAGGUUCUUAACAUCCAAAUCAAUUCAUAAAGUCUUAUAAAAUUCAAAAUUUUUACUUUCAAUUUUUUGAUACGUCGGGAGGAUGAAGGUGUUCACUAACACACUAAUAUUAUAAGCAAAUUUAAUGAGUUGAUAAUUUAUUCAUAUUAUAAAGAAAACAAUUAUAUAAUAAAUUAUCUUACUAGUAUUAAACAAAACAUACAUGUAAUUUUAUACACUUUUUUAUAAAAUUUAUUAAUGAUCUAUUAAUCACAAUACAAUGCUCCACCUAAGACCUCCUACCCAUAAAGUAGACAAAAUUCAUCCCAUCCAAAUUUACAAAACCUUGUUAUACAAAAUUCGAAUCAUUCCGGAACUUUGUUCAACAUAGUAAGUAUGAUCAAACACAUGUUACCAUAUAAUCUCAACAAAUAUGGAAAGAUUUUAUAAGAUGACAUUUUAGUUGAUAGGAAAAUAAUCGUCAUAUCAUAUCAACUAGUAAAACCCAAGUGGUGAUUAAUAAAUUAAAAACCCAAUUAACUAAUAACUAAUAGCAAACAAGCAAACCUUCACCGGUUCUCCGUAACUCAAACCGUCAAACCGAGUAAACGUGAAACAAACACGCACUCUGUUUUUCUCCUUUCCGAAGCAAAAAACAGAGCACACGUAAAACAAACACCAACACGUUUUCUUCUUCUUCUUCCUCUUCUUCUUCUUCCUAUAAAUAAUUAACUCCUCCACUCUCGUUUCUUCAUUCUCAAUCCUCAUCUUCCUUCCAAAAUUUUCAAAUCCAAUGGGACUGAUAACCACCGGCAAAUCCUCCAUGACACCGUCCGCCGACACCCUCAAAUGGCUCGGCCUAGUCACAGCAAUCUGGGUCCAAGCAAUCUCCGGCAACAACUACACCUUCGCCAACUACUCCCACUCCCUCAAGUCCCUAAUGAACCUCAACCAGCUCCAGCUCAACAACCUAUCCGUCGCCAAGGACGUCGGCAAGGCCUUCGGUCUCCUCGCCGGACUCGCCUCCGACCGCUUCCCGACCUGGCUCCUCCUCCUCAUCGGCUCAAUCGAAGGCCUCAUCGGCUACGGCGUCCAAUGGCUGGUCGUCAGCCAGAGAAUAUCCCCAAUCCCUUACUGGCAGAUGUGCGUCUUCCUCUGCCUCGGCGGGAACUCGACCACCUGGAUGAACACAUCCGUCCUCGUCACCUGCAUCCGUAACUUCCGCAGAAACCGCGGCCCGGUUUCCGGGAUUUUGAAAGGAUUCGUCGGGUUGAGCACUGCCAUCUUCACUGACCUCUGCACCGCUUUCUUCUCCGAAGAUCCCGGAACUUUUUUGCUCAUGCUUGCGCUCGUUCCUUUCGGAGUCUGUUUGGCUGCGAUCUUCUUCCUCCGUGAGCUCCCCCCGGCGAACACUCUCGCUGAGGAGAAGGAAGAGGCCAAGUACUUCUCAGCAUUCAAUGUCGUCGCAGUCGUCGUCGCCGUCUUCCUUUUAGCGUACGAUUUCACCCCCAAUCCUUCUCGAUUCGUCUCUGUAGGGUUCGGAUUCACUCUCUUAGCACUCCUCGCAUCUCCGAUUGCGGUUCCGAUUCAUAAAUUCGUUAAAGGAAUCAAGAUCGCUGCUCUGAACAAGGCCGACAUUGAGCGGAAUCAGGUCGGAGUCGAGGAGCCGCUUCUAAUUGACGAACAAAAUUCCGAAUCUGCUGCGGUUGCGGCGGUGACGGCGGAGGAUGUGGAGGCGGAGGAGGAGGAGAAGAGGAAGCCGGUGAUCGGAGAAGAGCACACGAUAGUGGAGGCGUUGAGUACGGUGGAUUUCUGGAUUCUGUUUGUUUCGUUUCUCUGCGGCGUUGGUACUGGUUUGGCGGUGAUGAACAAUACGGGGCAAAUUGGGUUGGCUCUUGGAUACGUCGACGUUUCGAUCUUCGUCUCGCUGACCAGCAUUUUCGGUUUCUUUGGGCGGAUCGUCUCCGGAUCGGUCUCGGAGUACUUUGUCAAGUGAGUUCAUAUUCACAUUACACUAUAAUAUCACAUUCCUCCUUUUUUUUUUAAUUAUGCUGCUUAAUUAUGAGUUUGAUUACGAAUUUUAAUUAGUGUAGUGGGGGGCCGUUAAGAUCUAAGUUUUAAUAUUUUAAUUGAUCGUGGUCUGGUUAGUUGUUUCCUAGGAAAUUGGAGUUUUGUUUAGUUUAAAUACUUUUUAGAGUUGUCCUAAUUUGAUAUUAUUGCUUUGUUAAAGGACCAAAGUUUGGUACUUUAGUGAGCUUUAAUGGUCAAUAGCUUUUGCUUUGCUUUAAUCGACAAUGUUAAUAUGUAUUUUUGUUCUGACUUUUCCACUUUUGUAAAUUGUUGAUUUUUGUCUAAUUUAUAAUAUUUGGGGUUAGUUUUUACUGACUUUUCUACUAAAGAUAUGUAAUGUGUACCAUCAUUUUCAACUUGCCUUUGUCUUGCCGGUGAUACUGAAAAGAUUUUUCAUAACUUUUUAUAAUUUAUUGAUUUUUUAUGUCCACUCCAUACCCAUUUCCCACUGAUGGAAUUAAUUCAGUCUGAUGGAAUUUGACAAUUCAUGUCUCUGUUCUUUUUGGCUGAUUAUUAAUUAAUAUGGUCCGUGCGUGCUUAACAGUAACUGUAACAGUAUUCUUUGGGGGCAUUAGUUAGGGCCAGAUUUGAUUUAUAACCGAUGGGCCCAUUUCUUGCUACCCACAAGUAUCUGAUCUAGAGAAAUAUCCAUUCAUUUCUACUUAACCCCAAAACUCGAUUAAGAGAAUCGAGUAGUUGACUACUUAGCUAGUCUGUUGAAUUAUAAAUAAUGGAUAAGCUCUAACACACUUGAAUUACUUUUAGUGAUUUGUUUCGAUACAUUAUACAAUGAGUAUCUGAUCGGUUCAACCAGUUGGAUCGAUUGAUAAGGUAGAAUAUCCGUUUCAUGGUGGCUUCGCUUGUCUUUCAAUUCAUUCAAUUGUUUGAAGAUAACUCUGACUACAAAAAUCAAAUCUUGUUUCGGAUCAUUUUCCACCAGUGGGGUCAAACUUCUCCCUUUUAAAAAAGGCCCGCAUUUAACUCGAGCCAAACCAGGGGGGCCGAACCGACUCGGCUCUUGGUACAUUUGAUGAGCCAAUUAGUGGGUACGUGGUCCACGAUCCAGGACCAGAUCGAUGUAACCAUUUUGGAUGGAUACCUAUCCUGCAAGUCAAAUGCUAGCAUACAAAUAAAACUGUACUAAUUAUUUACGUCCAUCGACCUCUUGCAGGAAAUCAGGAACACCAAGGCCACUAUGGAACGCAGCCUCACAAAUACUGAUGGCAGUAGGAUACAUCCUCCUCGCCCUGGCCUUGCCCGGAUCACUCUACGUGGGCUCGAUCGUCGUCGGAAUCUGCUACGGCGUGCGAUUGGCCGUUUCGGUUCCGACAGCUUCAGAACUCUUUGGACUCAAGUACUACGGCCUGAUCUACAACAUUCUGAUCCUCAAUCUCCCUCUAGGCUCCUUUCUAUUCUCUGGCCUGCUGGCGGGACUUCUGUACGACGCGGAGGCUACUCCGGUCCCCGGAGGAGGGAACACUUGCGUCGGUGCGCAUUGCUACAGGAUGGUGUUCAUUGUCAUGGCGGGUGCUUGCAUUGUUGGGUUUGCUCUUGAUGUGUUGCUGGCUGUUAGGACCAAGGCGGUUUAUAACAGGAUUUACUCGAGUAGGAAGUCGAGGAAGAUCGGUAGCUAGUUUUCGGUACGAUUCGAGAACGAUUCGGGGGGUUUAUAAGUUGUGGUUUGUGGCAAAGGGCAUGGUUACUAUAUAUUGAUAGGUGGUAUAGUGUCCUAAUGCGCCAAAUUCCACGUUUGAUUCUUUUUAGUAGGUACGUAAGAAUGUUGUGUAGUUAAGUUGGUUGUUUAUUUUUUGGUGUGAUUUCGGUGUACGGUGGUAUUUUUAUUUCCUUUGGUUGAGAUUUUGUUCUCAGGCAAUUAAGUGUAGCUAAGGUUGUGAUUCUAAUCCCAUGGAAGUUGUCUUCUUAUACCGAUACAUGGUUCAAUUGCGUUUGUUUUCUAACUACCAAGAGAAACAAUGUUACGAGCAUCUUUGAUGUGAGUUAUAUUAAAAACUUGUUAUUCGACAUAUUUGUGUUUCGGAGAGUAUAUUUGAUAUAUGUGAUAUUAAUUAAAAGUUAAUUAUUCCAAAUAUUUAUGUUUUGGAACCCAUAUAAUUAAUUAUGCGGUAAAUAUAUUUUAAUGUUCUCAAUUCAUAUCUUAUGUUUUCAAAACUGUAUCGGACAUUGUAUUAAAAAAUUUAAUGGUAGGAGGUUUGAUAGUUUAACCACAAAUUUAUAUCAGUUAAACUGUUUAUAUUAUAAAUUAAUAACAAAAUAUCAUACUGAAUAAAUUAGUAAUCAAACCCAUUAAAUAUCCGAAAAUCUCUAUAAUAUAAUUACUUAAAUUCAUUUUAAAUUUCCUAUCUUUGAAUAACUAAAAUCAAACUUAAGCCUAUAAAUUAUUUAUUCUAAUUCUUCAAUAUCUUCAUCGACUUUUAUCUCUCCCUCUUCUCUAGUCCCCUCCUUCAUCGUUUUUUCUUUCUCACUAUCACCACUUCAACCACCAUCAUCUCCAUCGUCCUCUAACCCUUGUCUCCAAACUUUAUUGCUCAGCUCCCCCAUCCUUCUAAUAAAUAGUCAUCAUCAUCCUCUCAAAAUUGGAAUUGACUGAAACGGCCACGGAGAGACAGAUCCGUGAUUAGGACGACCGCCAAGGAGAACCCAACCGCUGGGGACGGCCGCGGAGAACCAAAUGGUCGACGCCGGCAACGGAAAACCAGAUCUGCUCCAUCGUUGUUUUAUUUCAGAACCAAAUCGCGGUUUGAUUAUAACCGGACGGUCUGACCGCGAUAGAACGAUUCAACCGUUAAAGACAGAAAAACACCGAUGAAGAUACUCUCGUAAAUGGUCCCUUUACGUCAUCUAUUUGAGACACUCUAAACGCAUGCAAGUUUGAAGCGCACUGGAGACUUGAGUACGCAGUUGCUAGCUAACUGAUGGUCCUGCAUGCUGUGCUGUGCUGUGUGCCGUAGGAGUAAAGUCCACUCUUCCCCGACAUCAUCUUUUUUUUUUUUACAUACUCCUCCUUGCCUAUACUUGCACCUUCACAACUCCACCUCUGCAUAAUGCUAUCGCAUUUCCAAUUUCGACCCUCGUGAUGUGUUGGGUACGUACUAUACCGUCAAUUGCGAAAGGAGUUCAUCGCUCAUAUAUAAGUGUGAGGAAUGAGGAUAAACAUCUCCAAUAUCGAGUUACUGAAUGGAUAAAGCUCGAUAUAGCACCCAACGGUACGUCGACAUACAUAUGGUUAGAUCACAACUUUCAGUAGCCUUGAUGAGUUACUAGGCGUAAAGAUGGAACCACACGAUAUCUUGAAUACAAAGCAUAACUCUUCUUAAUCGUACUAUUUAGUACAUGACUUUUGGUUCUAUUGUUUGUUGUUAGUUGGUUCAGUGACUGCGUGUUGGUUUAUUAGGAGUCAUAGAUUUGAUAAUCACAAAAUCACAUGUUAACUUUUGGUGUGUUCAUAAGUUACAUGGUUCAAUAGUUAGAUGUUGGUUGGGUUAGUGAUUAGAUACACUGUUGUAUAUAUUGUAAUAUUAAAUUAAGUGAUUGAUUAUAAAUAUUUAUAUUUCUUUGGUUUAUCAAUAUUAAACUUUAUAAUUAGAUUUUUAAAAGAUAUAAAUUGGAUGUGCCGUGUCAAACCGAAUAAAAUGCUAGUGGUAAUAAUAUAGGGCAAUUAUAAUAUUACUCUCCUAAUUAAUAUGGCUCGUAUACAUAUGGUAAUAUAAUAAUAUCACUCUCCUAAUUAAUAUGGUUAUAAUAGAGAUGGUAAUUAUAUAGGGCUGAUUGGCAUAUAUAAUGACAACUAAAAAAAGAGCAUCUGUUAGCUCACUGACAAGAAGAAGAAUUUCAGGUUGUCCAAUUAAAUAACUCAAAUUAAAUAUGCUUUUAUUGAUAUUGACAAAAGCAAUUAAUAUCAUACCCGUUCAGGAACUAGAGCAUUCAUUGGCCGGAUGUAAAAGAACGCAGACGGGUCGGGUCAGAGUUUCACAUGAAUCAUCUCCCUUCCCUUCCACACGGAGAUUUUAGUAUAAGAACAUCAUGUGACUCCUCUCGCCAUACACCCUGCAAACAAAACCAAGUGUUCAAAUAUCAAACUCUCUUCUUCCCCCACCAUUCUCUGGGGAUUUUGUUCAUUGCAGUCAUGGCUUCUUCUCUUAUGGGCUCCAUCUCUCUUCUCCUCUGUUUCUCCUUCGCCUCUGCCUUUGGUAAAAUUUAAAAGAACUCUCUCCGUUCUGGAUGUUUUCUUCAGAACGCAGAAUCGGUUUUCAUGGUUUAAUGUUGUUUUGUUUGUUUGUGAGUUUGUUUCAGAUGGGCCUCUGUACGAUCAUACAGCUUACAUUGAGGUAACCCAUUACUUGUACUGCUGAAUCAGGAAGUGGGUUUGGACCAUUGUUUUGAAUUUGUCUGUGGGCUAGGUGAAAGUCAGCUUCUUUGACUUGUUCCUCAUGGUUUUUUUUAUCGGUUGUGCAGUGCCAAGGGACGCCGGAACAGCCGCUAUACGGCGGAGGGAUUCUCAAGCACCGGCGGCCAGUACAGUGGAAGGACAAUGGAGAUUCCUCGCCGGCUUUUGUUUUGAGUAAUAUUACUCAAGGCUCCUUUUACUCUUUCUCAGGUUUGCUUCAGUGGAGAUUGGAUUGUUCAAAGUUUGUGCCUUGCAAACAUUGUAAACUUUGUUAUGGGAAUUAAACAAUAACAGUAUGGGUGAAGGUAAAAGCUGGAAAACCAACAACUGUGACAGCAAGACUAAAGACAGACGAGGCUACAUACGGCUGCAUAGGUAGUGUUUUGGCAAAGAAGAACUGCUGGUCUUUUCUCAAAGGUGGAUUCGUCCUCGAAGAAGAACCCUCAGCUUCCACCAUUCUGUAUCUCCAGGUUAUAACCAAACUCGAAUCCGCUUCAACUUCUGAAACUUUGCAUUAUCAACAACUCAGUUCUCUAAUGGAUUUUGUUAAUGGUUACAGAGUCCAUCACAGAAGAGCCUUGCGGUUUCGAUCACGAGCGGGUCAUUACAGCCAUUUACAUCAGAGGAAUGGACGGCUAAUCAGCAGAACAUUAUAGACACUGUAAUUCAUUGGUAACACUUUAUUGUUCAAGGUUUUUUGGCAGAGACCAGUUACUAACCUUUGAAUCAAGAGGAUUGAAAGUUCUUCUCUUUUGUUCUUAACUUCAGCAAAGGAAACGUGCUGUGACAGUUCAUGUAUCGGAUAGCACAGGAAACAGGCUAAAAGGAGCUUCCAUCAAGGUCCAGCAAUUGUCCAAAGACUUCCCUUUCGGAUCCGCCAUCUCCAAGACCAUCCUGGGAAACCAUCCGUAUCAGGUUCGUUAAAACGUUGUUGGAAAUGAACUGGUUCUUCAAUCAUAACAAAACAAGCCGUUGACAAACCCAGUCACUCGGAAAAGGCUCGAUUUUAUUCGAACCAAGGUAAACUCGACUCGAUAGGCUCGCAUGCUGGCUUGAGUUAAACUUUGAGGGCCAACUCGAAUACUACCUCAAGUAUAUAGCUCGUUAUUGAAGCAACAUACGAUAAAUAAUAUGUAAUUUGUGAUCGGUGCUGAUGAAAAUGCAAGUGGUACAUUAUUCAGGUUUAACUAUUUUAACUAAGAAAAGUAAAAACUUGUAAAAAUUUUAAGAUAGGUUAUUUUUUUAGCUUGACUUGUCGAUGUUUUUAGUGUACAAAUUUCAAAUUUAGCUUAAAUUGGACCCAUCAGGACUUUUAACGAGUGAAGUUUGAGUUGAGCUCUAGUUUGGUUCGUCAAGAAUAGUUAUGAACCAGCCUAAAAUUUUCUAGGUGAGUACUAGCUCACUAAAAAGUAAAGCCAAACUUGAAAAUAGUGAAGCUAUGGUGGCCUAAAUUUGGUUCGUAAACCGCCCUAAAAGUCUUAUUUUAUCGACAGAUCUCUUCUUUAAAUCCUUAAUAACCCCAAACUUAUGCAUAUAAUUUACCAAAAUUAUAUAAAUCUUAACUCUGAAUGAAUAAUAUAAAAAAUAAUCUACACCAUCUCUGAAAACACAAUUUGGAUGACUUGUGACGGAAUUGGUGUUUACAGAAAUGGUACCUGGAGAGAUUCAACGCGGCGGUGUUCGAGAACGAGCUGAAAUGGUACGCCACGGAGCCCAAACAGGGCCAGCUAAACUACACGAUACCAGACAAGAUGAUGGAGUUCGUCAGAUCCAACGGAUUACUAACCAGAGGCCACAACAUCUUCUGGGAAGAUCCCAAAUACACCCCCGAAUGGGUGAAGCAACUCGCCGGCAAACAACUCCACGCCGCCGUCGAAUCAAGAAUCCGGAGCCUGAUGAACAAGUACAGGGAAGAGUUCGUCAACUGGGACGUCAGCAACGAGAUGCUCCACUUCAAUUUCUACGAAGAAAAAUUGGGCCGCGACGCCACAUUGCACUUCUUCAAGACCGCUCACGAAUCCGACCCCUUGGCGACCCUGUUCAUGAACGACUACAACGUCGUCGAGUCCUGCACCGAUCUCAACUCGACGGUGGACAAUUACAUCGGUAGGUUGAAGGAGCUGCAGCAAGGCGGAGCUACGAUGGACGGGAUCGGCCUCGAGAGCCACUUCUCGGAGCCGAACCCGCCGUUGACUAGAGCGAUCAUCGAUAAAUUAGCGGUGCUGAAUCUGCCCAUUUGGCUCACCGAAGUCGACAUCAGCAAGAAGUUCGAUUACCAAACCCAGGUUUGAAUUUCAUUUGAUUUGAUGUCAGGUUACUUGAAGUUGAAGUACUCUUUUUGACGAAUUGGGCUUAAUUUUUAUGAGGUAUUUUGUGAAAUACAGGCAAGGUAUUUGGAGAAAGUCCUGAGAGAAGGGUUUUCUCACCCGGCGGUGGACGGGAUAAUGCUGUGGACGGCGCUUGAUACCAAGGGCUGCUACGAGAUGUGCUUGACGGAUAACGAUAUGAAAAACUUGCCGGCGGGGGACACAGUGGAUAAGUUGCUGAGAGAGUGGAGCACCGGGGAGGUGAAUGGGAGCUCCGACGAGCGAGGGUCGUAUAGCUUUUAUGGGUACUUGGGAGAGUACAGUGUGAAGGUGGAGUAUGGCGGUAGAGUAGUGAAUUCGACAUUAGCUCUUAGUAAAGGUGAUGAGACUAAACAGUUGAGUAUUCGAGUUUAGGAUAUUUUGGUGAUUGAAUCAACAAAGUCACUAUUUUUUUAAUGUUGUGGCAUAGAAGAUCAUGUGAUAGCUUUAAUCUUUGACCAAUUUGCUUUUUGUUUUGGUCAUGAUGUUUUCUUGCUUAGUUCUGAUGUAUAAGUUUCAUUCAUAUAUGGUCUUUUUUGCCUCAGAUUAUUUUCCAAUUCAUCAGUAAUUCCAGCAUGAACAAAGUGGAGAUGAACACUACCUCCUUGCUUUAUGCAUUGAGUUUAUGAUUUGGAGAUGUUGUGGUUUUCAAAGUGAGCCGAGUGUUAUUUGUAAAGUCUGCAGCAGGGAUUUCUCUAGCAAUGGUGAACUCAAGAAUAAGUCUCCAUUUCACUAUAUGCAUGUGAACUCAAGAGAAGACUCCAUUUCCAGUUUCUUCACCAACCUACCUACUUCCCAUCCAAACCAAUCCCAAAAUUAAUACGACCCAGCAGAAUGGCCGGGUUUGGGAUCAUCUACAAAUGUUAUGUUCUUGUGUUGUACCGUAUGAACAUACAACCAUAGACAUGCAUUAUCUACGAUAUACGUUUCUAUACACAAUUGAAUUUUGAAGCAAGGAUAGUGCUUAUCUCCAACUACCAGUAACACAGAGAUUCCACUACUUGACUUUAUUGACCAAUUCAUUCAUUAUUCCCUAUUUUGUCAACAAACACACAGGAAAAAAAGAUCCGAUAGGGGGGAUUCUGAGUUUGAAAUGAUGACCUUCUGUGUUGAUUUCUUUCUUUCCCCUCCACAUUUUCAACAUUACAUCAUUGCCAAUCUCUCCCCUUCCCCAACUCACUGCUCAAUUAAAUAUGCCCUACGGUGACGCAAUUUGAUUCCAGACCCCCCCAAUCCUGAAAACAACUUGCAAUUCCAGCAAAGUGAGCGACAAAAAUGAAAAAGCUGAACGAAAACGUCAACACCAAACACUGUCCUAGCCCACAAUCCAACUCCCUCCAUUCACAUUCCCUCUGAGCUUUCUUCCUCCCUUUGGCCUUUUCAGUUCCAACAAAUUAAAAUGAUUUCAUUCGUCACAUGAAGAAGGAAACCAAAUUGAACGAAUUAGGUAAUAUACUAUUCCCUGAACGACAUGCAUUAAAACCACAACUUCUUGAGAAAUAUGUUACAAUUCCUAAACUCGAAAAUUUGCACAACCCUAGAAACAAAAUACAAGAGAAUCUUGAAAGUGGUGGGGGUGCUCAAGUGCACACUUUGUUUUUGGCUUUUUUUGCACCACACUUCCCCCCAAACGGUUCGAGCAAAAUAGGGGGAAUCUUGUCAGCUUUUCUUAACAAAGGCUCUGCUUGCUGCUUGCUUGCAAACUUCUCUAAUAAUAAACAUAAAGAAUCCCCAACACUAAACAUAAACAAAAUCAAAAUCAACCAUUAAACUAAGCAAAACAUCCACCAUGAUCACUAAUGACCAGAAGAACAACCAACCAGCAGUAGCACAACAGCAGAAGUAACCACCAUUCCACACAGAGAAGAAGAAGAAGAAGCUCUUCUUUCUGAUCCUCCCAUGGCUAAACCAGCUAACCAUCCAUCUGCCAACAUUGUCUGCCCUCCUCUGGCGUUGUUGGUGUAUAGGACUCAGACUUCUGACUGCAAAAUCAGCAAUUUUUAAUGAUCAAAACUUGAAUCAAACCUUAGCCCACUCACGUAAAUUAAAAAUUCUACCAUACCCAGAUUCUGAAAUAAACAAACUGUCAAAACAGAAUAAAAAUGAGAUCUUUGUCAUUGACCCAUUGGUUUUACCCGGGAGAGGUCAGGCAAUUUUAGAAACGAAUGUACCAAGCCUAGAUUACUAAAUAGAAAACUAAUUCUUCAAAUAGAAUAAAGAUGAGAUCAGUCAUUUUUGUCAUUCCCAGAUUUUCGUUUACCUAGGCGAGGAGGGGCAAAAUGUGAUGGUAUAAUCAGCUCCGGUACAUGUAAAAGUACUAGUAGCAUCAUCGUACGCAUAGCUAUAGGACUUGGGACAAGCGGCUUUAAACAUCGCCGAGUAAACCGACGGCCUACAAGUCGCCGGCGUGUUGAACGCGCCGCUACAACAAUACUCGGGGCUUCCAAACGCCUCGCACGCGCUCUUACACGCACUCCCAACCCCGGACUUCAGCUCAUCGGGGCACUGCCGGUUCAGAUCUGUGGUACAACCCGUCGACCCACAAGGACCAGACCCGCCGCUCCCUUCCACGACCAUGGGGACGUUGUACCCGUCGACGAGGCUGACGUCGUAGAAGUCCAUCCCGCCGCCGCUUCCGAGGGUGAACUCCGCGAGUGUGGCCGGAGGAGCGGCUCCAAGCCCAUUGCACUCGACGAGACCCGACCCGCAGUCCCCGGUCUGGCAAGAUCCGGAACCGGAAUCGUCGAAUGUGCAUCCGGUUCGUGCCCAGAACCUGCCCGACCAGCCGGUCGGAGCUUGGAAGGCGCGGGUUGAACCUUGUGGAAGGGAGAAUCCGGUGCUUUCGAGCUUAGGACUUCCGGCAUUGGCUAGAAUCCCUGGCCAGAGUGUGUAGUCGCAUCGGUUUACGAAGGUGAACGUCGCUCCCAUAAUUCCUGAAACACAGAUUUUUUUAAGAAUCUGAGUUAUUCUGCUUCGGAAUCGGGAAACCUAUUGUAGGAAAAAACAGAGAGGGGAGGAGGAUUCUUACCCUGUGGAUUGACGAGGAAGAGGAUGAAGGUGAGAGUGAGACAAAAGAAGCGAUGCAUUUUUUUCCGGUACGGCAGCAAAUUAGCAGCUGGUUGUAGCUUCUCUUUGGUGGUCCUCCUCCGGUUUCUGCUCCGGUAAUGGCGGUGGAGGAAUUUGCAGUGGCGAGAGUGAAGAGUGUAGCUAGAGAGUGUGGAUUGGAGUGAUUGAGUUGUGUGGUUGGUUGGCUCAAUGUGUUUCAUAAACCGACAAAAAGGAGAGUGAAAAGAGGAGUGUGUGUAAAUAAAGUAGUAAUGGGCCGGGCAAAUGGGUCCAAAUUUACGGCCCACCAUCUUUUCAACCUUCAAAGUUCAAUCCCUCAUAUUGUCGUAUUUAUUCAAAAUUUAUAAAAAACAUUGUUUGGGAUCUUUAUGUUUUUCAAAGUAAAUUGUCACUCUUUUUUUACAGGUCACACUCUUAUUAUUAAUGAUAAAAAAAAUACUGUACAUUUCAAAAAACCAUAAUCGAGAUAAAUAGGAGAAAUAUAUCCAACAAACGAUGAUGUUAAAAAAAAUGAACGAUAAGUAAUUUCAUGAGCAACCUUAUAUAUUUCUAUUCCUCCUAACUUUCCUCACCUGAAACAAAUGGCAAGUCAAAUAAAUAUUCUGACAAAUACUUAUAACACGACUCAACUCUGUAACAUCCUCAUCCUGAUUGGUCAAACCCACCACCGCCUGCAAGGAGUCGACCUCAAAGUUAACGGCUUGGUGACCACAUUACAUAGCCCACAUCAACGCCUUCAUUAGGGCUAGAGAUUCUCCUUCGGGACAACCAUAUCCCCACACAAAGCGAACUGCGAGCGGCUCACUAGUGUGCAUGGUUGCGUAGGGCCAUCCCACAUCCCCACCAAUGCUCCCCUUGACGAAAAAUCUCAUCGACGUUACAAUAGUUAGUCCUCCCCCGAGGCGGAGAAUGCCACUUCUCGCACUUGACUGCCCUAGUACUAGGCCUAUCAGUGCCAACUGCCCCGCUUGCUCUCACGACCUUCCACCCUGCUUGCACACGAGCCAUGCGUCCACACCCAACCCGAACCUUCUCCAAUGUUGCAACCUGGUUCAGAAAAAUUUAGUGCAUAUGCUAUGCUCUGAUAGCUUUCCUAUUAUUGGUAUAAAAUAUAAAUGAAGGCUUUAGGAUUAGUAUACUUGGUCGACUGUAAAAGUGAAGCUUGCUGUAGAUUUACCUUGGUAAAAAACGCGGUUAACUGGUUUAAAAAAUGGUGAAAGGGGACGCGGUAUUGUGCGGGAAUCUCCAGGACAUGAAUUGAGGACAACCGUUGGAUCUCGUCUCAAUCAAAGCAAAAGACGGGUCCCACCACUAUCCGAAACAAAGGCAGCUUUCACCAAUCACGUCACCUCACGUACUGUACAAAAUUCCACGUCAGCUAAUCAGUACCGAGUUGGCUGAUGACAGCCCAACCACCUGAAGAAGCACAGAGAAAUUUAGUUUGCCGACGUCAAGGUCAACUAGCCGUUUGACUCUUGCCAGGUUGGCAGGUUGAGGCAUUGGGCCCACCGCCCAAGCACGGAGGUGGCUCCCGCCAGUUUUAAUACAAUCACAUUAUCAUGGCGCAAAGCAUUGGAUUCCAAAUUCCACCUCUACACCCUAACUUAAUAAUAGUCUCCACCCUAACUUAUCGUUGCCUUAGGCACGACCUCUAGCCACUAAUGCUGACCAACAACCUCGUCCCGCCCACCGUGUAGAUACAAUGGCGUCUCAAUUGGUAGAUCAAGCCCCCCGUACCUCUAAAUAUGGAGUCACAGUAACUUCGUCAGAUGUACGUAGAUGUCGCCGGCAUUACGCUUGUAGCUCGCAGGUGUCUCCUUAUCUUCAACUUUCGUUCGGGUCAUCGAUUAUACGAGCAUAUAAUUGAUUCUACAAGGCUAUAAUCGAUUAUAUGACCAAAUAAUCGAUUAUAUGAAAAAUAACGGAUUAUUGGAAAGAAUAAUUAGUUAUUACAUAAAAUAUUCUAGUCUUGGGUUAAUAAUCGAACAUGAGAGUAACACUCUGUUAUAGACUCAUAAUCGUUUAUGCAGUAUUUUAUCGGUUACAAAACUACUAUAACCGAUUAUGGUGAUAAUUGGUUAUCUGUUCGUUGAAAAAAUUACGAACAAUUGCACGAGAUGAAACGGAAAAUAAAUGUAAAUACUCUAGAAGUAUGUAUAAGCUAUAUGGAUAGGUCAAACUUUCUACCAAAUGUGAUGAUGUUAUUUGAACUCUAAAGUUCAACAAACACCCAGAUAUAAAGAAUGUGAUUGGAGCCUCCAAUGAGGUACGCUCAUUUCAAAGGUCCACCUCGCACGGGGGAACUUGUAAGGUUACUUUUAUCCCUUUGCAGGCAUUGCAAGGUUGCAACUUGCAACGAUGAUGGGGAAGACCCAAUGAGUAAAGUUGAAAAAAGAUCAAGUUUUUUUUAACUCAAAAGGUUUUAAUGCAUCUUAAAUACAAGGAAUAAUUAUUUAAAAAGCUUCCAACUUUUCGACAAUACUAUUAUGGUUCAACAACAUCUUUCCACCAUUUAGGAAUAUUGUUCAACUGCAAUUGAAAUCUCACUAAUUUGUACAACAGCUUGUGAGAACAGAGCUGUCUCUGGUACACAAUUAGCUAUGUAAAAUACUGUCAUGUUUCUCACAUCGACGACGUAAUAUGGUUCUAAAUUCGCCUGCUCACAAACGCAAGUUGCCCGCGAACCAAGCUAUACUAACUGUUACAAGUUCCAACCCAUUGGACCUAACUCCUUCCCUAAAACUAAAACAAAAGAUUAUAACCUCACUGCUUCACCCACGGAUUUCAUAUUUAGUCACGUAGUAAUAACCCAAAAACUAUAAAGUGUGGAAAGACUCAACUCCAACUUACCGUUGUAAAUGGAAUUUGGGAUUGAAAUUUAGUCUUGGGCUCCUUCGUCCUGGGCUCCAGACCCUUCUUUGUCGGGGUUUUGAGCAUUGCCUCUUAGCCCAUAGGAUUUCUACCAAGCUUUUGUAGGCUUAAGCCCUCAGUCCAUCCACUAGCAUGGGCCUUUCUAAAUCAAUUCAAGAUGCAUGGUAUCAAAUCUGUAACCCAUAUCAUAAAAUUGGGCCUUUUACUAAAAGCCCAUUCGCCGCCCCAAGUGGGCAUAGAGGUUUACUUUGAAUUUUGAGAUUUUAAGAGGGACUCUUUAAUAUUUUCUCACUUAAAAGUAAAAACGACAGAAUUUAAUUUCUAAUCGAAUUUUGAACUUUCUAAUAUCUUUGGACCCAUGUAGAAAAAUGUGCAGCCUUUUUUCUUCAAGUUGUGAAGAAGCAAACUUGAAGAAAAGCAUUGAAAACCCAACCAAAAUGGUCCCUUAUUCCUUUCACUUAUGAGAUUCCUUCCUUUGGCUACCAAAAGAUGUUGUUGUGCUCCCAAUUUGGCGGCCAUAAAGUGGAAGCUACCAUGAUUGUGCUGUAUGCAAUAUGCCAAACCAAAACCACAUACAUAGACAGUGUUGACCACUGAAUUGAACUACAUGAAGCAAAAGGGUCCAUCGAGAUUGAAUUACCAAGCCAAUAUGCAAAGGCAGUAAUCUCUAAUGAUAGGCACAGAUGAUCAUGGGAAAGUGGCAAUAUACAACAACAAAUGCAACUAUAAAAAGGUAUGCUUCACCAUUGAUUUUGGGAGGAUUGAUCAUGAUUGUCAUUAAACCAGUGACUUAAUGACAAGCAAAUGAACAUAGAUAGCUGGAAACCAGCAAGCAAGACCAAUGAAGAGCCUCGCAAAAUGUGGCAGAUAAACAAUAUUUAUGAAGACAAAAUCUGAUGUAAAUCAUAGUGUAGUGUAUGAUAAUCAGAAGCAAAUGGGUGAGUGGGAGAAAUAUCAUAUAUAUGCAGUUAUGAAGGUUGGAAAAUAAUGGAACAAAGCAUGCAGAAAAUAUUCAUAAGUUUGGACAGAAGUGGAUCAUCACUGUAAUUACAUAGCUAGCAUGCAGUCAAGGAGACACAACUCACAGUAGAAUGUUUUUGGUACCUUUUAAUUUCUUUUUCAUUCUCUGCAACCUGUGACUGAAAAUUACCAAUGGAGUAUAUGUGGUGGCACCUCACCAACUACUAUCAAAAUGUUUCUCUCUGCAUAUUUUUUAUUUUUUUAAAUAAAAACAAAUUAAUGUCCGAGUGGAAUUACUUCAACCGUUGCAGUUGAGCGUGUGUUUGGUUAUUUGAAGAUUUUGAAUUCGAAUCUAGUAUACUUUAUUAAAAUUACAAAUUAUUCUUAUAAUAGAAGAAAGUGUUUUCCAAGUAUACUUUAUUUUCAUCUUCUUCGUUUUUUGUAGUCUUCGUAUCAAUCAUNNNNNNNNNNNNNNNNNNNNNNNNNNNNNNNNNNNNNNNNNNNNNNNNNNNNNNNNNNNNNNNNNNNNNNNNNNNNNNNNNNNNNNNNNNNNNNNNNNNNNNNNNNNNNNNNNNNNNNNNNNNNNCAUGACAAAAAAACUAGGAAUCUCUCAGAAUUGCUCGACCAAAUGUAGAAAUAGGUAUUGAACAUUUCACAAGAGACACCUGCCAUUAUUCCCAAAUCUCAUGUUCUAAUCACACACAGCUUUUCUUUCACCGUUAAUGGUGUCGGGAAUAAUUUUUAUGGCUAUUUUUUCACAGUGUGGUUCUGUUUAUGAUGAUUGAAGAAAGACAGAAUUAUUAUGAGUCGUAAUCAUGAUAUAUGUAAAGAUAAAUCAAUAAUGUCCCCAGGUGACAUAUUUGAAAUUAACAAGGGAAAUAAAUCCACUUAGUGCUUAAUCAAAAAUAAUAUAGUAGUGUGUACAAACGUAUUCAUACAGUGAGUGUUUUCACAAUAAUAAUACCACAAGUAUUUUACUUGUUAUAAUUAAUUAUACCAUAAUUAUAUUAUAUUCACUUGAUUGGACCAGAUCUUUGAUAGCAUGCCACUGUUGGGCAUGUGAUAAAAGCUGCUUUUUUCCUUUCACUUGGAAAAGAAGACCACGCCCCCCGCCCCAUUUCACUUGGCAAGAAAGGGGCAGAGAGAGAUGGCGAGGAAGCAUGAGAAGAAGGAGCCACGGUAGACACAAGGAAAAAUCGUAAGGAGAUGAAGAAGCUGAUCAUUAUGAAUAAUAAAAGAAAUUUUGGAAUAUACACUUAAUUAUUUGAUUAAAUGUUUGAUGAGAAACUGAUCACUCUUUUAGUCUUUAUCGUUUCCAAAAUUAUAAUGUUUGUUUUCUAGUUUAUAAUUACUAUCAUUUGGUAUAAUUGAUAAAGAAUUGAUCUAACCACCUGUAUCAUAUACAUACACAGUCUCACCGAGGAUAUGCAAAUCUUCAACAAAACACAUCAUAUAUGAAAAUGGUGUAGUAACAAAAAAUUUAAGUAGACACACUAAAUAACUUGUUAAAAAGAUCGAGAUGGAAACUAUAUUUCAAUAAGAACCAUCACAUUUUAGAACAUUUUCAUUAGUAAUAAUCAAAUAACACCUAUCACCCCAUAUUCGAGUUGGUAAUUGAAGUACAACUUCUCAACAAUUUAUAUAGUUACCCUACUUUUUUUUAAGUUAAAUAGCUCCGAGGUGAAUUUGUUACGGAAAAUGCUCUAUGCUUAAUGAGUGAAGCACCAAGAAAUGUUUGUUAAUGCUGCUUAAAAAGGAGAUUUUCAGUUUCACCCUCAGUGUUUAGGGACCAAGAUUUCGCAUCUUGAUUUUGUAGAUGACCUGGUAGUGUUUACCAAAACAACGGAAAAGGGGAUUAGUGAAGUGAUGAACGUGCUUAAGUGUUUUCAAAAUAUUUCUGGAUUGAAAUUCAGCCAUGAGAAUAGUGAAAUGUUUUUUGUUAGGGUGUCUUCUGAUGUUGCUGAGAAGUUUGCUAUUGAUUCUGGUUUUAGGUAUGGCGUUCUUCCAUUCUGUUAUUUUGGAGUGUCGCUUACAUCAGGAAAACUUAGAGUUACCGAUUGUAAGCUCUUGUUUGAUAGAAUUACGGCUAGAAUCGUAGAUUGAAAAGCUAAGAAUUUGCCUUAUGCUGGUAAAAUUCAAUUAAUCUAUCGAUUAUUGGAGGAAUACUCCAAUAUUGAAUGUCCGUUUUUCUUCUUCCUAAGAUUCCUCUUAAAGAUAUAGAACAACUGUGCAAUAAAUUUUUAUGGGGUAAGCUUAAGGGUGGAUAUUAUAAGGUGGUUUAGAAAUUCUUGAUUUUCUCUAAAACAAAGGAUGAAAUUAGUCUAAAAGAUCUUUUUUCUUGAAAUGUUGCUAACAUUAUCAGGCAUUUAUGGGCUUUGAUUAUUUGGGGAGGCUCUUUUUGAAUGGUCUCGAUGUACAAAUACAUGAUCAAGAGUAAAGAGUUAUUGUCUCUUAAGAUUUCAACUGGUUCAUGGAUUUGGAGGAGAAUACUGAAAAUGCGUAAAAUUGCUAGAGCACAUGCUAUUGUUAAAGAUGUGAAUGUGAUUCUUUGGUAGAAUGAUGGUAUACUCCAAUAUGGCACUCGUCGAGUUUGGGAUGUCAUUAGGUCAAAACAAGACAUUGUUCCUCGGAGUAAUCUAAUUUGAAAUGGAUGGCAGAUUCUUAGUUUCAGUGUCAUUAGCUGGUUAGUGAUUAAUAAUUGUAUUGCGGUUCGAGAGAAACUUGCAGCCUGGAUGAUUACUGUUUAUGUUUCAUGUUUUCUUUGUAGCAAUGGAAUUGAUUCUAGACAUCAACUCUUCUUCUGCUGUAACUUCUCCUAGGAAGUUCUUGGCUUGCUCCUCCCUAAGAUUUUCAGUAAGUGUGAUUGGGAGGAAAAUAUUGAUGCACUUUGUAAUGCCAGACUGGACGAAAAUAUUGAGCUUCCUAAAAUCAACAAAUCUGAUGUUUUGUCUUAGUUGAUAGAUCUUUGUCAUAGAUAUUAUAAUUUUUUAUAAAAUAAAAUUUAAUUAUUCAUAAAAAUAUUUGUUGCUGAAAAUGCUCUAUGCUCAAUGAGUUUGAAAAUGCAUCAUAUUAUUUAAUAUUUACACGGUUUCAUGUUAUUAGCCAAAAAGCAAUUGAACGAAUUAAGUUGAUGGCAAAUCAGAAAUUUGAACCGCAAAAGCAGGGGUAGAUUAGGCAGAAAAAGCUAUUAGUAAUGAGAAAUCAGCUCGGGAAGCGGGUGGGUGAGACCGAGACCCGUUCGUGCGGACAACAGCUCUCACGCUUUCAACAUCGCUAAUCAUUUUUAUUCUCCACAUUAAUUACACCAACUCAUUUAAUUAAUAAACAACUAAUUCAAAUUAAUUAUGGGGUAAAAUAUCUGAAAGCAUUGUUAUCAUUAUUUUUGGACUGUAAUCGGUAAAGUUACCUCGAAGUUACAUGCAAUUUUGUUUUACCCUCCAGCCAGCUUAUAGAUUAAAAGUAGAGAUUUGGGAGUUGGAUUCAUUGGUUUAGGAAAUUCAAAAUUUCUUUACUAGUUAAAUCGAUUUCUCGAUAAAUGAAAUAGUAUAUCAGUUUGCAUUAGGAUUUGGUUGAUAUAGAGUUUUGGAAUUUCUCUUUGUACACACCGUCAGUCAUGUUUAUUAAUUAAAUGGUCCGGUGAAAUAUUAGUAUCGCGGCAACAUGGUCAUGGACACUACUAUUAGCAAGAAGAAAGGUUGUUGUUAAAGGUAGGUAAUUUUUUAGUGAAAGGUGUUGUAUUUUAACUAUAUUAUUAUUAUUAUUAACUAAGAUAACUUUCACAUAAUAAUUAAUAUGGUGANNNNNNNNNNNNNNNNNNNNNNNNNNNNNNNNNNNNNNNNNNNNNNNNNNNNNNNNNNNNNNNNNNNNNNNNNNNNNNNNNNNNNNNNNNNNNNNNNNNNNNNNNNNNNNNNNNNNNNNNNNNNNNNNNNNNNNNNNNNNNNNNNNNNNNNNNNNNNNNNNNNNNNNNNNNNNNNNNNNNNNNNNNNNNNNNNNNNNNNNNNNNNNNNNNNNNNNNNNNNNNNNNNNNNNNNNNNNNNNNNNNNNNNNNNNNNNNNNNNNNNNNNNNNNNNNNNNNNNNNNNNNNNNNNNNNNNNNNNNNNNNNNNNNNNNNNNNNNNNNNNNNNNNAUUAUAUAUAGACAUGUAGUCGGUAAUAAGAAUAUGAUAUCGUACAGUAUUACUCAUUCGCUCGAUCUAAAUUUAAUACACAUUUGCAUGUAAAUAACGUAAUUGUUUUUUUAACUAUAUUUUUACUGUCACCAAUUUGAUAUGUAUACCAAUUGUUUUUUUGUAAUAAUGAAAAAGGCGCUAAAUGCUAAUCCUUAAUAUCCGUUAAACGUCGCCGUUUCAACCUUCCUCUUUAGCAAGUUCCGUCAACUUUUUACUUUUAGUUGCAGGCGGGGACUCUGCACAUCAGUAUAAGUAACUGUUGUCUUCCACAAAUGAAAUUCUCCAUUGAAGCAGAAAACAGAGCAUCAACUAAGCUCCCUCUCGACUCUCCCAACUCCCAACCAAAACCAGCAGAAAUAUAGCACACUUAGCACCAUUCCCAAAAACCAGCUCUCCAUUCAAAACCACCUUUCAAAGAGCACACUUAGCAGCAUUCAUUUUCUCUCCCUUCGAGAACAAAGAGCAUUACUUUCUUUCUCCCCAUCGUAUUUCGCUAUAUAUACUCUCACACACCCCUCCCCAUUCCCCAUUCACAUCUCACCCACUAACCCAAUUCGCCACCAUCGAAACCAAAUCGCAAGAUGGAAGCUGCAAACGGCGGCGAUAAGGUGGUGGAAACGGUGAUCGCCGGUAACUACGUAGAAAUGGAGAGCGAAGGGAAGUCCAGAGACAUCAAAAGCAGAGUCUCCAACUUCCUCUGGCACGGCGGCUCCGUUUACGACGCAUGGUUCAGCUGCGCUUCUAAUCAGGUUCAACUGGUUUUUCCAUUUUCGUUGUUAUGUCCGAAAGGUGUUUGAUGAAAUGUUUGAACGAAUAUUUUUUUUCCUUAUUCAGGUGGCGCAAGUGCUGCUUACUUUGCCGUACUCGUUCUCCCAGCUGGGGAUGCUGUCCGGGAUACUAUUCCAGCUAUUCUACGGCGUGUUAGGGAGCUGGACGGCAUACCUGAUAAGUGUGCUGUACGUGGAGUACAGGACGAGGAAGGAAAGGGAGAAGGCUGAUUUCAGGAACCAUGUCAUCCAAUGGUUUGAAGUUCUUGAUGGGCUGUUGGGGAAACACUGGAGGAACGUGGGUUUGGCUUUCAACUGCACGUUUCUCCUGUUUGGAUCUGUCAUUCAGCUCAUAGCCUGUGCUAGGUAACAAAUUAAAAAUCCUUUCUUUACUUCCUUAUUGUUUAAUGUAGGGGUUAAUAAUGUUAUUUGUAUAUGAACAUGUUGUUGGGGUUGAUGAUGCAGUAACAUAUAUUACAUAAAUGAUAAUCUGGACAAGAGGACUUGGACGUACAUAUUCGGAGCCUGCUGUGCUACAACUGUGUUUAUUCCUUCAUUCCACAACUACAGAAUCUGGUCUUUCCUUGGUCUUGUUAUGACCACUUACACUGCUUGGUACCUCACUGUUGCUUCUCUCCUCCAUGGCCAGGUAACUAGUUAUUCUAACUUUGGAUUCCAAUCCGGCUUUUCGUAUGCUUUGGUGGCCGGGCACAUCCUUUUGCAUGGAAUUAAUAAGAUUGUGAUAUUACCUCCAUUUGGAUGAGUAUUUUGGCUGACAACUCAUUAUAAAUUAAUUGAAUGAAAAUAAUUCGUUUGACAUUAAACACAAAAUUUAUGAUAUUUUAAAUUAUAAUAUUUCAAAUAAUUUAUUUUCGAAUCAAGUACUAAGAGAAUGUCCCCAUUUUAAUAGUCUGUAUAGAAACAUGUCCUUGAUAGACUCGUUUUAAUAUUAUGCCUGAAAUAUCCAAAUUGAAAUACUACCCUACACGACAUUCUACACUAGAUCUAUGUACUACCAUAUGAGAAACCAAAUAUCAGAUUUCACAUGCUUGCUCAGAUUCUUGUCUGAAUAUUGAAUUUUGUUUAUUGUUGGUGGUAUGGGGAACGACGAUGAUUGAAGGUGGAGGGAGUUCAACACUCGGGACCAACGAAGAUGGUGCUGUAUUUCACAGGGGCCACAAACAUUCUCUACACAUUCGGAGGACAUGCUGUUACUGUGUAAGCAAGCAAACUUCUGCUACUUACUGCCAUACCCGAAUCUUUAUACUCUUGGUGCUUCAAAAUUGAACCUUUUCUUGAAGUUUGUGCUAGCUGCAUAUACAUAAAUUUAAAUUUGCAUGAUUGAUUGAGUAACGAAUAAGGAAAGGCUCAACUUUCCUGUUUCCAUUCUGUACUUUAGUAAUGUCAAUUUCAUUUUACAUCUUGACAGUGACAUAACCUUGACUUCCUUGUACAUAACCUAUACAUCUUCCCUGAAUGUUGAUUUAGAAAAACAGAUUAAUUUUCUCUACGUACAAAAAAGUUUGGCAACGUUGAUUGAUUCUUAGGCGUGGGGUGAACAUGACUACAAAGUAGUUUAUCAUCCAUCAUGGAGCUUUCAAUUCAUUGCAGCAAAAAAGCCAUUCCUCUUUCUUCGAAGCUUUUGCUUUUAUCAUGAAAGGAAAACAACAUAAUUGAAAAGGAAGGGGUCCAGUUUCACCAUAAUACUGUAGAAUAUGCAUAAUGCUGCAGAGAAGCUGGUGGAAGAAAGCUCUCUCUGCACUUUUUCACCACCUUUUUUCUUCCUACAGAAGCUGGCAGCUUCGUUAAUCAAUAAUGAUGAUAUCAAAUAAUUAAUGGGAAAAUUAACAUUGUCCGAUAACGAAACAAUUAAAUUUUGCAGGGAGAUAAUGCAUGCAAUGUGGAAGCCACAGAAGUUCAAGUCCAUAUAUCUACUGGCUACGCUGUACGUUAUGACGUUGACGCUCCCUUCCGCCGCUGCCGUUUACUGGGCAUUCGGCGACGCUUUGCUUAACCAUUCCAAUGCCUUCUCCCUCCUCCCCAAAUCUCCCUUCCGUGACAUGGCCGUCAUUCUUAUGCUCAUCCAUCAGGUUUAAUUUGUCACUAAGCUUUUAUCCACCAAAAGUAACAAAGAGUUGAUCUUUAUUGGAUAUUUAUCAAAUUGUUGGUUUGCUGCAGUUCAUAACAUUUGGGUUCGCAUGCACGCCGCUUUACUUCGUGUGGGAGAAAGCCAUAGGGCUUCACGAAUGCAAGAGCCUUUGCAAGAGAGCGGCGGCAAGGCUGCCGGUGGUGAUUCCGAUCUGGUUCUUGGCGAUUAUCUUUCCUUUCUUCGGACCGAUUAACUCCACCGUUGGAUCAUUGCUCGUUAGCUUCACUGUCUACAUUAUCCCUGCCUUGGCCCACAUGUUCACCUUCAAAUCUGCCGCUGCCCGUGAGGUAAUUCAACAUAUGAUAUCCAAUUACUUGCAACUUCUUUAGUACUUUGUUGUUAUCCUAGGCAGCAACAUGGACCGGUCUCUGUUCUAGCAGACCAGUGCCGCAUCUUUCUCCCUAAACCCGAUAAUACCAAAUAUUUAAACUUCAUACUAGCAGUAUAGAGUAAAAAACUAAUUUUAAUUUGCAUGUUGGUGGAAACAUAUGUAUUGUUUCUAUAUCUUAUUGAACUGCGCAAAUUUCCCCUACCAAGGUACAAAAGAUGGAAUCUUUAUAGGAUUUCUGUUACUUUUAUUUGCAUGGGCUUGAUUAGAGAUGAUGGUUUUAUUGCAGAAUGCGGUGGAGCAGCCACCAAAGUUGCUGGGGAGAUGGGUGGGAGCGUACGUGAUGAACAUAUUCGUGGUGGUGUGGGUACUGAUAGUAGGAUUCGGGUUCGGAGGGUGGGCUAGUGUGACGAAUUUCGUACACCAAAUCGACACUUUCGGACUCUUCACCAAGUGCUACCAAUGCCCACCGCCGGCAGGCGCCAUUCCCGCUCACCUCAACGCCACCACCGGAGCUGCUCCUGCUCCUCUGUACAAUCACCAUAGCAACCACACCCACAACCUCUAGUCACAUUUUGGUGAUCACGUGAGAUUUCUCUCCAUUGGACGACUAGACAAGGAUGGUACGGGGUUUUCAAAAUGAGCGAAGGUUGCCAUCGAGAUCGAUUCGUCUCGAAUGUUUGCUAUGUGUAGUCGCUGUGUUGUUGUUGUAUGUUUAUUUGUCUCAUAGAGGAAUUAGCUAGUUUUAGAAUGAGAGGGAAAAGGUGAAAGGAAAGAGGUAUGUGAGGAUGUUUGUUGUACCACUAUUAUCUAGUUGAGCUAUGCAAUUAUGUGAAUGAGUCAAUGAGAUGUGCCAAAAGCUCUUUCUACUAGACACAAUGGUUUGAUUUGGUCCAUCUAUAUUCCAGACCGACCUUUAUCCUAUUUUCUAGUUAACUUAAAACUAAACGAGACGUCGAUAUAUUUUAAUGCUCAAAAUUGACCCUAAACCCUGAUGUAUGCUAUUGAAAUACACAUUAUAAUUCAAGGCUCUAAAUCUAGUUCUAUGCAAUGUACACAAUCUAAACCAAUUGGUUUUCCGUAAAUAUUUUUCAGAAUAGUGCUAGACCAAACUUGAAAAAUACGAUAAGUACGAAAUGAUGGGGCACCGGCCUUAAGCGAUCACCCCCACAUCCGCCCUUGUUCGCGGUCAUGAACAAGGUUCGAAUAUACCCUUCUCGCAAACUCAGGAAAGAAGGGGAAGAAUGAUACUAUGAACAUCGAAAAUGACACAACAUCAUGAAACAGAGCAGCUUGACAGUAACAAAACAGAACUGUGAAAAGCAAUCGAAAUGCAAAUGCAGCUUCCUUUUCCUUUCUCUUUUUAAGUUUAUGCACUCACUUUCCAAUGCUUUCACCGCUUCCACAUCGAUCUUUCCAACAGGGAAUGAAAGCCGCUCCAUAUGAUAUGAUAAAAGGUGCUGCGAGGAAGAAUACAGAGUGAGUGAUUGAAAGCAGGUCAAAAAAGAAAUAUAGCGAGAGAAUAAUGCAGUGAGAAUCACUCAAAUUUCUUUUACUGGGCGGCGUGGGAAUCUGGGUUGCAUUACAAGAACAACUGUUGUUCUUUUGUUUGUGGUUGGGAAUCUAAUAAUUCAAUGGCAGGCUUCCCAUGAAGUUAUCAUGAUUCAUGAGGGGAACUUUGGAUAAAAGAGGGGAUGAGUAUCAUACUUAUAUUCACCAAACAUGUUCAACAUAUUAAUUGUUGGUUCUGUGGUAACCAUUUUGAACCAAAUUAUGAGUGAUAAGCUCCUACAAUUGUUCCUUUGACAAUGUCAUGAUUCACGCUCGACUGCUCCAAGAUGAUGUUUCAGUAUGUUAAGGUCCAGACCGAAUUGUAUGUAGGGUCCGAAGUGGAAUUUCCAACGGAAAUCUAUCCUAUUGUUUUAUUCGGAUUUCGAAUGGAGAAAUUUAGAAAAAUAAAUUUUAUAUCUUUAUGGUUUUAGGGUUUUAGAGCCUACACAUCUGCUGGUGACGUCUUAAAUUCUAUCAGGCCCAACCCAACUACAUUAGGGACAAUCCAGUAAAUUCACAUUCUUCCAGUUUUUCUUUCAUACAAGGAGUAAGCUUUACCCCUUAAAAAAGUAGGCUUUCGUAACAUUGUUUUCUACAAUAUGUAGGAGUGGCCAAUUGACAAUUGUUAUGGUGAGUCCGAGUUAUGUGUGGCAUAGCAUCUGGGAGGCCCGGAGUGUCGUUAGAAAUGGAGUUCGUUGGUACAUUGAUGAUGAAUCCCCCGAUAAUGUUGGACAUGAAAAAGUUGAACAACCGUGUCGUCUGUGUGGAUAUUAUGCGUUUUUGUUGAAAAAAAACUCAAUUUUUUUUCCAAAGAAAGUGUACAAAGUCUUUAAUUAAUCAUCAAUGUAAACCGAAGGAAUGCGGCCCUAACCAUAUCCUCUCAAAUACAAUCAAUCAUCUCACUAGGGAGGGACGAAAUAAAAUGAAAACAAGUGAUUAUGAUGAUGUAAUAAAACAACUACACAAUUGUCUUCUCUAAGAAAAUAUAUUUGGUUUAUAUUCUGCUUCAGAUUUGUAAAUUAGUAUGUUGAAAUCCAAUAUCUCAAAUCAUUUUUUUUUUCAGGAGUAAAAUAGAAGAUAAGAAAUAAAUUAGUACCUAUUUCGUAUGAUAUAUUAAAUUCGAAUCCGAAACUUUCGAAUAACUAGACACAUACUUUACUACCGAAGCAAUUGGCAUAUCUCAAACCGCCUGAAGACCAUAAUCUACACUCCGGAUUUCAAGUCUAGUGAUAGUUCAACAACCCAAAAAAAAUUCGGUUGACCAAAACGGCUUUUAAGAGUUUGUAAGUUUACUCAGGGUCUCUGUUACCAACCCUAAUGAAGAAGACUCAACCGUUACUGAGAAUUUUAAGAGGUGAAAUUGAAACCCCCAACAAAAAGCUCACACCAUAAAACAAACAAAACACAGGGCACAAUUCACAUGACUGUACCGGGAACCGUAACGUCUACAAACCACCGGCCACAAUUGUUAGAAGGUUGGAAAAUGAUGAGACCGAUGAUGAACACAAACAACCAAACAAUCAAACACACUUCUUCACGCAAAUACUGUCUCUCUGUUUUCAAACCAACCAACAUCUAUCCACCCAAAAACAAAACAGAUAAAAAAAUCCCAAAUUUCUGCACUAGUGGACUGGUCUUACCACAACCCACAUUCAUAUUCUUUAAUCCAACUGAGCUCAAGCUGGGAAAAAGCUAAAACGGUCAAAUCCGGAAGCUAUACAUCAAAAGCUUUGAUCUUUCACAUAAUACAAAAGCUUAAUAGCCAGAAAGGACAUGGACUUCUGGACAGCAACACACGCAAAAAUGCAGAGAGCAUUGAAUACCCUUGCAGCAGAAAAUAUUAGCCCAAGAAUGGAUCCUGCGAAAGCUACAAUGAAAAGGACAACCAUCGAAAAAACAACCAUAAACAAAUCACACGGGUCCUUGUCAAAGAAGUAAUGAAAUAUUCCACCUAACACAUGGACAAGAGUUGAGCUUUUACAAAUUACAACAAACCCACAAAAUCUCACUAGCAGUGGAAGAUGAUUCUUCGAUCAAGAAAAUCAAACAAUGCAAAAGGUGUAUGCUAUGGAUUGAUGAACAAAAACCCAUCUGGACAUUGUGAUCAUCCAACGAUUCAUAGCAAUAUAUGAGGGUCAAUGGACAAGAAAUGGAAUUAACACUGAACACAACAUAUAACCUUCACUCAUUCAAACAUCCGAAACAGUAAAACAGAUAUAAAGGACAGAGCCAAUCCACACUACUACAAUGACAAUCCAAAAGAAACUUAAAAGAUAACAAGCAAACGAUACAUCUAAAGAUAACUGAAUGCAAGAUGUGAAAUGGCUUUCACAACUCGCAACAAAAAACCACUUUGAUCAACAAGAUCAGCGGCCACCACCAGCAUUGGGGCACUCCCUAGCGAAAUGACCACUCCCUCCACAGUUGAAGCAGCCGUUUCCGCCGCCGCCGCCGCCCCCACCACACUCCCUUCACUCACCCGCCUCCACCACCGCGUCCUCCGCCUUGGACGGGCUUUCCAUCCGGACCGGUCACUUCAAUAGCCUUGGUGCGGCCAUCGUUGGACUUCUCGAUGACGUACUCCACCUCUUCGUCUUCGGCGAGGCUGCGGAAGCCUUCGGUCUGGAUGGAGGACUGGUGAACGAAGAGAUCCUCGCUGCCGUCGUUAGGGGUGAUGAAGCCGUACCCCUUCUGAUCAUUGAACCACUUCACCCUGCCCGACAAUCUGGCACUCAUCUUUGCGGCGAUCGGAGAAAAUAAAAACCCUACAAGAAAUUUCACAGAGAGAGAUUCGCUUGUGAUUGGAAAACGAAACGCUCUGGAGUGAAACACUGAACGAAGGCAUUGAAUUUAUAUUGGGAAAAGGGAGAUGCCACGUCAGACAUUUAUGGGAACUCGUACCGACGGCUGUGGAUUACUGUUUCAGUGGGGCUUUUCAUCGGACGGCUGGGGAUUGACAUAAUGGUAAUCUCGGUGUAGGGUUCGUGGGGCCGAUUAGGGUUUUGAGGAAAAGUGAGGUGGGACCCGGUGGAGUAAUAUCUGGUGAAAAGACCAUCCUAUUUGACCUUUAUUAAAUAUUUACCUCAUUUUGUUUAUUUCAUGUAUGGAAACUAGCCAAACAAUUUAUAGUUGGUUAUUAAAUUGGUUCAUAUAUAAAUAUUUACCUUGUUUAGUAUUUCUAUAUUGGUAUUAAAAUCGGAUAUAUACUAGUGAUGAGUUUGAAGUCGUUUUAAUAUAUUUUUUAUGACUGUUGAUUCUAUGUUUGACAAUCGUCAAAAUUAGAGGAAUUAAGAUAAAAUUUCGUCUAUUUUACUUUUAAACUUAAAUGUUACAAACAUAAAAUUUGGAUGUUUUAUAAUUUUACUUAUUGAUAUUUGAAUCUUUAAUCAUCAUCGAUUAUUUAUCUACUUACACUAAAUAAUUUAUCAAAUAUAAUUUAUAUUCAGGAUCAACUUAUUGACAAAUAAUAAUCAUCANNNNNNNNNNNNNNNNNNNNNNNNNNNNNNNNNNNNNNNNNNNNNNNNNNNNNNNNNNNNNNNNNNNNNNNNNNNNNNNNNNNNNNNNNNNNNNNNNNNNNNNNNNNNNNNNNNNNNNNNNNNNNNNNNNNNNNNNNNNNNNNNNNNNNNNNNNNNNNNNNNNNNNNNNNNNNNNNNNNNNNNNNNNNNNNNNNNNNNNNNNNNNNNNNNNNNNNNNNNNNNNNNNNNNNNNNNNNNNNNNNNNNNCUUAGACCUUAUUUAGUUUGUGUACUGUUUGUUUCGUGUUUUGAAAACCAUGUCUUUUAAGGUUUGUUUGUUUGUUUUAUUGGGCUUAUGUUGGAACUUGUUGGAAGACUAGUCAAAUGGUCAAUGCAUCUGUACGAUUGGACUCGUCAAUGCAAAGCUGUCCUUGGGAUGGAUGAACAGUGAAAUAAAAAUUACGUGUAGAUAAUUAUUCUGAAANNNNNNNNNNNNNNNNNNNNNNNNNNNNNNNNNNNNNNNNNNNNNNNNNNNNNNNNNNNNAAAUUAGGUUCUUUUUCGUGAUAGGAUCGAAGAUAACUAGAUAUGCCAUUGCCAAAUACUAUUAGCACUGUCUACCAUGGGGAACAAACAAAAUUUAUGUAAUUAGUAAUUUGUAAAUUGUUAUAUAUUAUAUGAAACCAUUUAUAUCGGAGCCACUACCUUAAUCCUCAAAGACUAAUUAAAAAUCGAAAAAGUAUACCUCAAUUAUUAAAUUAGAAUCUUAGUCUUAAACAGAAACUUGAAUAACGNNNNNNNNNNNNNNNNNNNNNNNNNNNNNNNNNNNNNNNNNNNNNNNNNNNNNNNNNNNNNNNNNNNNNNNNNNNNNNNNNNNNNNNNNNNNNNNNNNNNNNNNNNNNNNNNNNNNNNNNNNNNNNNNNNNNNNNNNNNNNNNNNNNNNNNNNNNNNNNNNNNNNNNNNNNNNNNNNNNNNNNNNNNNNNNNNNNNNNNNNNNNNNUAAAUCUACGUCUUACCAUAUUAUUAAUCUAAACUCAACUCAUCUAACCCAUAAACUUAACCCAACCACUUAAAAUAAACCAUCUCGUAUUUCCACUACAAUAAUGUGUAUGUGACAAUGAAUUUACAUAAUGAUCUCUCCAUUUAAUAAAGUUUGGUAAAAUGGACAUAUGAUUAAAAAUGUAAUAGUGUAAUGAUAUGUCCAUUGUCUACUUUUAAGUUGGAACUAUAUGAAUAUAAAGAAUUGAAACCCACAUAUAAUUUAUUUCAAAUUAUAGUAUUUCGAUUUUAUCAUGUUUUAGGAGUUAGAAAAUCUAUAUUGAUGAUAGAACCCUCACUACUAUUAUUUUUAGAGAUAUUAUAGGUUAGGAAUAUGAAUAAUUUUUAGAUUAUUUUCAUAGAUUAUGAUAUAACACAUUUAAUACUCAUUCUUACUUAUCCAAUCCGACCCGAUCCAACACAAAUCUGAGUGGGAGAACCCGCGGAAGCAUUAGCCGUGAAAUUUUACCGCUAACAAUUAAAUGUAAGAAAGUAAAAAAAUAAAUAGUGAAAAUAGAAGGGGAGUGCCACAGUCCACAUGGGGACGAGAAACGGAAAAAAUUGCCAGAAGUAGUUAAGAUAAUAGGAUGGAACAAAAGAAGGCCAGUUACGAAUUUGACCAUUUAUGUUUAUAAAAAUAACAAAUUUGACAAUUUCUUUUAUUAAUGAAUUAGUUUUUUUUAACCAUUUCUUUUUAUUAAUGAAUUGGUUUUUUAACAUUAAAGUGGCAAAAUGAAUUUAUAGCCAUGAUAUGAAUUUACAUUGAUUCAUUUGGGUUAUAUGGGCCCACUCUGUUUGUUACUAUUUGGUUGGACUUGAUCAUAAAUUCCAAGAUCCACCUACCUGGCCUCCCCCAUUCAUUGCUUUCUCAACAUAUCAAUUGUACAAUUUGAUCAUUUCACAUAUUCAAAAUAGCAAGUUACUCGUUUCGUCUGAGUUUUCUGGAUCGGCCCAUGUUUUGAUUUACGAUUAUCCAUCAUUCAUUUAGCGAUAGAGGCUAAGAUAAUUAUUCCCCUUCAACUACGAAACGAAUCACAUUGAGGUCGGCAUCAUGUCGUGAUGGCUACUACGUAUGGUUAGGUUGUAGCCUUGUAGGUAGGAUGUCCUGCUCCACCACUAUAAUGAUAAUUAUCUUUAGAUGAUAGCUACGAGGAUUAUGUGUUAUUGGGUUUUGGUUAAUUUGAAUAUUAUGUUGUAUCAAGUUUGGUUUGGGUGGGUGGAUUAGUCGGGCUUGAUAGCAUUUUAACUAUCUUUUUGAAUGGUUUUAGUAAAUAUAUUUUAAUUUAUGUAAUUCUAUACGGCUUUAGAAUUCUACUUAAUAUAAUCGAGUUAAACAUAUCAUAACAAGUAGCUUAACGAUCUAAUAGGUCCUAUGUCAAAUGAGUUAUGAAUUCGUCAUGUUAGGACUUUUAACAUCAGGUCACAUGGUGUUAACUUUGAUAAUUUUCAAUACAAAUUGGGUUUUUCUUCGAUUUAAGUGUUCAAGAUGUCGAUUUCGUUUGUCGCCGUUACACAUAGUAAACCAUUGUACUAUUGUAGGAGCAGAACAAUGAGCCAAAAGUAAAGAAUUGAGGAAGUAUAUCAUCAGUUAAAUUGAAUUGGGGAAGAACACAAGUCCAGAGAGCCUUCUCCAAUAAGCCUAUACAAACAAAUUAUCAGUCAGUAGCGGCAAUGGUGGACCGCAAAUGCUAGCUUAUAUGGACACUUUUCUUUUUAUUUCUUAACUCUUGUAUCAAGCCGGCUAAGAAAAAAAAUUACAAAAGCUAACAGAAAAUUAAUGGAACCCUCUUGACCCUCUCGAUUGAUAGAGCUCCAAUCUACUCUUGGCCUCCGGCAACACGUUCUGAAUCGUGACAUUCUCCACCAAGUGGGCUUGCUUCAUCGACCACUCAAGCACGAUCAACACUUCCUCGUUGGCGAGAACGUCGCUGUCGGGACAAUUCAUGGUGAUGUAACACAGGAGUAUAAGCGAAGGAGUUUGGAUCACCUGCUCCCCGAAGUAGACCAGUUGAAUCAAAUGCUUUGUCCCUCCUGCACUAAUCACGACUUUCGAAUGGUUCACGCAUAGGAAGUUCUCGGUGGACGCGAACUUGUUGAGCGCCACCGCUGCCUCCAUCAUCACGUCCAGGUCCUUCUCGUCCAACAGUUUCACUAACGGCCCGACCAUUCUAGUCUCGGUGGCCCGAAAUGUUCGUGCCAGGUUCCCGAUUGCGCGGAUGCAGGGUACCAUUAGGUCUGAUUCGCCUGCCUCGAUCACUUUGAGGAGUUGAUCCACCACUGCUUUUGCAGACGGGGAUGUGGGCUUGAACGCUGACCGUCGUAAGUCAGCGUGCUGCUCUGCCACCGUGGUUAUCUCCAUCAAUGCCAUCGAGGAGUAUGAUUGUACCUCUUCCUCGCCCUUUUCUAACAAGAUCGCAAAGCAGAGCAACGCUCGUGACUCUGUUAUGCUUCGACAUAUUAUAACGUUUCCUCUCGCGAGUUGCCACAAUGCCCUAGCCGCCAUGGCUUUCAUGUUGGCUUUAGUAGCGGGAUCCUCCUGCUCCCUCUUCUUGAUGCUCGUUCCAGAUAGUUGUACAUGGUUUUGACGUUGUCGUUUUCCUUUAGAAUUAUGACUAGGUUUACGAUGUUUUCCCUUUCCACUCCCUUUCCCAUCCCCAUUACCGUGGGUUCCAAGACUCUCACCCUUGUUAUGUCCCGAUUCCUGUCCUGAUUUCGUGGCUAUAGCCAUCUCAUGUCCAGGCUUGUUAUUGCCAUUGUUCGGUACUGGAUGAGUAUUGCCAAGAGUGGUCGUGACAACGUUAUGCAUUUGACUCGGGUUUUGAUUAUUCAUCGGGUGAGCAAUCUUCACAACAGUCAAAUCCUCUUCGGAUGGAUCUCCGAUUCUGUCGUUCAAAUCAUUGCUUGCGACCAAAACCGAAUGGAUCGACGCCUGCUUAUUCGAAAUCGUGUAUUUACUAUGCUCCUCAACCGUCUCAAACGCGAGAUGGCUAACCAAGAACCGAAUUAUAUUCCCCUGAGCAAAAUGAUCCUGACAUUUCGGAUGAUGAGCGGCCAACUCGGAAACCGCCCAAGCCACAACCGCCUGAACCUUCAUGUGACCUUCUUUGAGCAUUUUCGCAAAUACAUUGCAUACGCCGGCGUUAACAAUGGCUUCCACGCUGUCCGGGUCCCGACCCAGCAACCCAAUCGCCCUUGCAGCAUUCUCCUGACCUUCCUUCUUCCCGUCUUUAGCCAAUUUCAGCAAUGGAGGAACCCCUCCUUCUUCUAUUAUCAAUCUCCCGUACCUAUCAUUAUCCCUCGCUAACGAAACCAACGAAGCCGCCGCGUCGGAUCUCUCUUCGGAAGAUCCAGUGUAGAGAAUCGCUAUCUGUUCCCAAAUCAGACAGAGGAUUGGUUCAUUGGCUGCAAUCGGUGGAAGCCCCAAGUACUCAUCGUCGCAGUCAUCACCGGAGGCGGAUGCGGAGACGCGGAGGAGCCAGGAGACGUCGCCGAUCGAGUUUUCCAGCUGGAUAGUGAGCUUUCGGAAGGCGGCGGCAGGGAUGAUGUUGAAAAUCCGCUUCAUUAUGCCACUGGAUCGACAUUUUAUCACUAGGGUUAGAGCUUUGUCGAGGACCUGCUCAGUGUCGUCGAUGAUGCGGCGCGUGGGGCGCUCGUAAAGGUCGUUGCUCGCACGCGCCGCCUGACGGAGUAAGGUGGAGAGCUUCUCUGUUUUGGAUUUGAUCUCCUGGCAGUCUUGUUUGAAGGAUUGGGCCUCGUCGGCGGCCUUCGUGACGUGGUCCGCUAAUUGGAUAGGCCGCGCUAGGAUCUCCUUCACGAAGUCCGCCAUGGCCGGAAGCGGAGCGGAGCUCCGGUAGCUCCUUUAUUGUGGGAAAGGAUCAAAAUCGAUGAGGUUCUUUGUUUGUUAAAAGUUGUGGAUAAUGUUUUGCUUCCUCUCGUUUAGGUUGAUUAAUAAUGAAUUAUGUUGUGAUUUCUUUUUUCCUUCGUUUUACUUGACAGCGGCGGUGGUGGUGGAGGGGGUCUCACCACCGGCGAGUAGGGGGGGUUGGGGGAAUUGGAUGGAGAAAAGAGAAAGGAAAAUGGAAAUUAGGAAAAGAAAGAUUUUGUGGAAUUGUAAAGGCAGAACUGAUUUUGCUCCAAAAUUUACGAUUACAUUUCUAAAAUUUGUAACAGUUUAGCCUUAGGUUUAAAUUUAGGAGAUGUUAAUUUUUGCAAUAUUUUAACUGGGGUUAUAUUUAUAAAGAUAUCAAUAAGUGAUAUAAAUAAAUAUCAUAAACAGUACAACAACAACAACAAAAUUAUUGUACAAUUGGUUAACUAAUUGCACAACACUCAUUCAGUAAUCAAAUAAAACUCACCAUCUUGACUCCUGCACCUAACCAAAAACACAGAAAACAAACAAAAAGUUAUGUUAGUAGAUGUAAUAUCAGAGGAACAUAGAACAAUUCUACGAGUAAUAUAGCCCAGAGAAAGAUGCAAACUCAGGAAGACAAACCUUAAACACCCAAAAACUCUUGGAAAACGAAGGAGCAGAUAAAGGUCGAGCUUCCAUAGAAACGGUUUUGUUUCCAACCGCAUCGCAAAAUUUACAGUGUUGGUGCGGUGACGGAUAUCAUGCUAUCCGAAUCACCGUCAUCAUCAUCGACUCGCUUGUGUAAACUGACCUUAUUUUAUGUAUGAUAAUAUCUAGCUAAUUAAUAAUAAUUUAUUCUGCCACAAAAAUACAAAACAUCUGUUUUAACUAACUUACGGCAACAAACCGAAAGAACAUUUGAUUAGUUUGUUUGUUUAAUAAUAAUUGACGGUUAAAACCACAACCUGAUCAAAUAUAAUGAUGGUAUUUAAACUAACCCCGAACUAUGGUUAGUAUAUAUCGUAACUAUUAUUCACCCAUCCGAACCGUUGUCGAGCUUAAUGGGAGGUGAGAUGACGCACGCAAUUAAUAUUAUGACAUGGUCUGAUUUCAUAUGGGAGAUUACUAUGUAGAUUAUGUUUUGUAUAAUUAGUUAUACUAGUUAUCAAUAAAGUUCGUAUGCUGGUUAAAAAGAACUAAAUAGUUUAAGCUGAACCAACGAGCACCAAAGGGUCCAUAGCUCAGUGGUAGAGCAUUUGACUGCAGAUCAAGAGGUCACCGGUUCGAACCCGGUUGGGCCCUUUUUUUGAUUGCUUUACCGAUUUGUUCUGCCAAUACUCAAAGUGGGCCUGGCUUCUAUUUCAUUUUGGGCUUCCAGCGCCCCCAAUGGAAUGGGCCAUGGAGCUUUUGCUCGUUUGGGUUGAAGUCAUAACUCUAUUUGCAUUCGUCGAAAACGGAAAACUAUAGUUUCGGAGGGACUAAUAUAAUUACAUUUACAACGAGGAAAUCAUUCUCUUAAUCUCCGUAAUAAAAAUUACUUAUUCUGAUCAUGUUUUUCUCUUUAAUUACAUUAUUAUACGACCAAUUAUUCAUCAAACACUCUACAAACUCGGAAUUUUUUUAUUCUUUAUUUCUAAAAGUCUCUACCAGCACUGAUCGGUCUCCCAGUUCCUCCGGCCGCCGCCGGAACCGGACCCAGCACCAGGAUUGCAAUUCAUCGACAGCGACGACCCAAAUGGACGGCGGUACAGAUCCCGGUCGUAAUUCGCGCGCUUGUCCGGAUCUGACAGCGUGGAGUAAGCCGAAUUGAUCCUCUUGAACGCGUCCUCGCCGGAUGAAAUCAUCUCCUGUUUCCCGCCAACCGAAACGACGUCCGGGUGGCAAGUCCUCGCUAGCCGGCGGUACGCCGCCUUUAUAUCGCCUCCGGUGGCUGUGGUCGGAAUUCCCAGGACUUGGUAGAGUGACAAGGACGCCAUUAUCUAUAUAUAAUCUUAAAUCUUGUCAUGGAAUUGUUUGUUGUUGAUCUAUUUUUUGUUCUCGUUUGGUUUCUUUGGGUUAAGGUGUGUAGUGAGGUUUUUAUAGAGACAUUUAAAGAUGGUUUGGCAGGCUUUUUAAAAAACAAAAUAAUUAUUGGUUUGGAUAAUACUGUUCAAUAAUUCUAGGUUUAACAUGUGACUGAAGUGGGUAUUUACUGUUGGAAAUUUCCGAAUAUUUGAAUUAUGCACGUGAAUUUUUACCCUGGUAGUUGGAGUUUGUAACUGAAUUUCUGGAAUUAGAAUUUUUGUUUUUUUUUUAUAUUUAUCUCGUGCAUAAUUGAAUUAAUGGUUCGUGAAUCUUUGUAAUACAAUCAAUGUACGUUUUAAUUGUAUAAUAAUUUAUAUUAUAUCAUGAAGAUCAAUGUUGAUGUCAGUGGUUUUUCGUUCAAGGUGAAGGGGGCGGUGGGUUGGAUAGCUUGGGAUCAAG
rnacentral:lncRNA from 1 species